AAAAAUAUAAAUACUAGCAGGUAUUCAUAGCGAACCAGCAGUACACUAAAAGCACAUAAAAUAAAAUAAUAAUCUAUUUAAUUUUUAUUUUAAUUGAUCUAGCACAGCAUUAAGCAUUUGACAUAAAUAAAUAAUAAUAGCAAAAAGAAAAGAGAAGUAAGAUUAAGGAACCGUGCUGUUAAGUCUUCAGACAAAGAUAGUAAAAGCAAAAUGGCUCAUUAAUUAUUCCAAAACUCAAUUAAUGACAUUUCUUGUUCAAAAACUCAGUUAACGACAUUUAUAUUUUCUAAUUAACAAGUCAUCCAAGUUUAGAAAUAUCAGCUGUUAAGUAGUGCCAAUUAUUAUCAUACAUGCUUAACGAACUACGUUUAUUUAUAAAGAAAUCUCUGAUGGUGAUGGACUCACUUCAUGUGCCUCUCAUAGCAACUACUACAGCAAAAACCUAUCCACCAAGGCUUGACUGCAAUGCUCUCCCAAUUAAGGAACUUUGCUCCUAAGUUUUACUGACUACAAAAAAUGUAUACUUUUAUUCUCGUUGAUUUGAUUAGAAUAGAUUUCAAUUUCAGAACAUAUUUGAAGUCCACAUAAAUUCUGUUAGUAUGAUCAUCCGAUAAUAUCAAUCCAUCUGUGCAGUGAUCUUCUAUGCAUGACACAAUAAAAGUCCAAGUGAAUAUAAUGAAAGACAAUAAAAUGGGAUAUAAACAGAGAAAAGAGAAAAGUACUUACUCCAUUAGAAAUACGUGACCAUCUUUCACAGAAAGAUCUGAUUUCUUCUUAAAUGCACCGGGAGGGCGUAAAGAUUUAUUCUCCCCAGGAAGCUUUUGUGCCCUUGGCAACAAAUGUAUUUUUGUGCGUAUAAGAUGAAUCAGGGAAUUUGGGCGAACAUUUUGGUCAGCAAGAGAUUUAUGGUCUUCAAGCUCCUUCCCCAAGUAAAAUAGUUUAACAGAUUCUGCAGGCUUGAAAUCUACAAGAACAAAAGAACAAAUUCAGAUGUUAUCCUUCUUAACAAAUUCUGAAGUCUUAAACCUUAAAAUAAUCAAUGACACCAAACAUUUAUUGAUAAGAACUACAGAUAUAGAGUGAUAAAUGUCAGUCAAAGAAAAAUGACAACCUAGCUUCUUCGAAGCCUUUGCUUUGAUGGAAUAGACUGUUUCCUCAGCGUCCACAUGCAGUUUACUUCCUUUGCCCCCGAAGCUCUUUACUAUAACUUUCAUGGGUCCUUGUGUUGGCAGCUUUCCUUGUUCUUUGACAGCCAUCUCACUGUCAUGUGGAUACCAUAGAGCUUUGGGCCGGUGAAAAUUAGCUAUAUCUUUACUGAAAACAGUGGGUAAAAAACAAUUGCAUAAGAUGAAAUGCGGUAACGAAGUGAUUCAGUUGCAUAAGCAACUUGGGAAAUCAUACAGAACAGAUAUAAAAGAAAAAAAAAAUAUUACUAACAGUAGGUGCCUGUCUACAGGUUUAGGAAACCUGGUUAAUUUUGCAUCAAUCACUAGCCAUUGACUCUCGAAUUCUGUAUUCUCAAUAAAUUGAAGAAAUCGUUAUAGAAUACAGACUGAAAUCAAGCAGAAGCCCAAUUCUUAGUUAAAGGUGAUAUAUUAGCACUUGGAUCUUGCUUCCAUAUAAGGGACAUUUGCGGGGAGAGAGCAAAUGACAGGACACAAUUUUGGAAGCCUCUGUUCAUUCUUUCAGUGUGGUUUAACAAUACUCUCUAAUGAAUUAAAAUAAAUAAAUAAAAUAAAAUAAAUUGAUAUUAGCGACUUUUGAGGAGACAGAGACAGAGCAAAUGACAGGAAACAAAUUUUGAAGCUUCUUUUCAUUCUUUCAGAGUGGUUUAACAAUACUCUCAAAUGAAUUAAAAUAAAUAAAUAAAAUAAAAUAACAUAAAUUGGUAAAUGAAUAAAACUUGUUUAGUGGGCUCGUUUUUUAGGAAAAUACUACAGUAACAAGAAAUGAAAUGAAUCAUUUCCAUUCUUAGAGUUUGUGAAGGAAACCAGAAAACGCCAUAUUGGCAUUCUCAAAUUUUUGUUCUCUGCCAAGGGUCACACCAAUUUGACUUUGUAUGAUCAUUGCAAUAAAUUUUGUGGGUCCUACAAUAAAGAUGUCUUAUUUCCAUUAUUAUAAUAUAUAAGAAUAUGAACAAAUGUGAAUAUAAUUAUAAAUUGAUUCAUAUUAUCUUAAAUAUUAUUAUGUUAUAAUAAAACACAAUAAAAAAUACAUUACUAUUUUUAAAAAUACAAAAUUAACUUUUUUGGAAUAUUUGUAAAAACUUAAAAAGUAAUGCACAAAAAAUAUAAUUAUCUAACUAAAUAAAUUUUUAGUGACAUAAUAUAUUUAUUAUAUUACAUUAUGAUAUUAUAUAGAAACUUUCAUAUUUAUCUACUAAAGUAAUAAAAGACCAUUUAAAAAAAUGACACUUUAUGACAAUUAACUCACCCCAAAAAAAAAAAUCAACUAUAAAAAAAUCAUUAAAUAAUGAGUAAUCCUUUACCCUCUCUCACUGUUCCAACUUUUUCAGACAAACAACCAAACAUCUUUUCAUUGUUUUCAUUUUCAUAUGCUAUUUUUAAAAUAAGUUACCAAACACGUUUUUAUUUUUAAAAGUAUCACAUCAAAAACACAAUUUUUCUUUCUCUAAACAAAUGUAAAAAACAUCAAUUGGAAAACAAUACCAAACACACCCUUAGACAUUCUUAAGAAACGGUGUACAUGGCACAAACAGAAUUACCAACAGAGAUCUGAAAAACUUACAAGUGACAGUGCAGACAACAUAGUUAUUAGAAUGCUUAACUUUCCUUCUCAAAAAAAAAAAAAAAAAAAAAAAAAAAAAGUGCAGACAACAUGGAAUGGAUCCUUACUUGCUUAACUUCAGUUUCAUUGUCUGAAGCUUAAGUGCAGGUGCAGAAUGAUGAGCUCUGAUACCAUGAGCACUUCGUUUGUUAGAAUUUGAUUGCAGCUGCUGGGAUAUUUUCCCAUUCAUAUAGAACUUGUCAUUAGCAAUAUUGAAUUUCCAGUCAGACUCAUAUUUUUGACCCGCCGGCUCAGUAAAAUCCCCACCACUUGGCUUUGCAGAUCGAGUUAUGAUCAUAGCCCCUGCAUGAAGCAGGGGGUGUUCUACAUCCUUGUUAUCCAGAAUUUCAAAGAGCAUCUGCUCAUCUUGAAGAUCAAGAAUCAGCUUAGGCUUUCCUACAGCAUCCACUGGCUCCCAUAUAAUAUUGUCUAACCAAGAUCCUUCCAUCAUAUCUCUGUUCUGCAAUGAAUGUUUGCUAAGGCGUUUUACAGCAUCGCUUUGGCAGAGCUUCAUUGAAACAUUCUCUUUUAUACCAUUUGCAUGAUUAUGAUUAUCCAGAUCCAGCUGAGAUUCUAACCUCAAAAGCUGAGGAUGGUAUCUGCUUUCUGUGAACAGAUGACUUGUAUUAUCUGAAGAACUUUUAGAACCAAAGGUCUCCGACAAAACAGGAGAAUUUUGCAUAUUAACAAUACAAUCCUUCUCAUUUGGGCUCAUAGAUCUCGCAUGAAGAUUAUUUUGUGCAGUAUCAAGUUCAAUGCCCUCAUUAAAGCAGAUUCUACGUCGGCUCCAGCGAUUUUAUGACUCUCUGUAGAAUUGUCACUCGCUGCAGGAGAAUUGUCCCAGAGGAUGUUUUCUUCCCAAUCAUGCUGAUCAAGAGGGAAAACGUUCGGACUCGACAUUGACUUCCAUCCUACAGAAAGAUUUACAUUUGACUCCUCUUUCAUUGGCUCUGAACAAAUACAAGAGUCCUUCCAUUGCUCAUCGCGCCGUUCCGAUAUAGUGGCAGCAUCUUGCUCGACACCAAACUUUACUAAUUCCGAGUCAUCAUCAUUAAGUGAGGAGAUAUCAUGCUUAAAAAUAUUGGCCUGUUUAAAUAAUGGAAAACCUAGACCAGAGCCCUUUAGAUACACCUCUUCAUCCUCUUCAACAAGACUUGAAACGUCCAUGGUGUUGUAUUUAUCUAGAAAUAAAGGGUGGAAGGGAGGAUCCAGAUAAUUAAAACAAGAACAAAGUAAGAACCACGAAUGUAAGUUUAAAAAGAAUAGCUCCCAGAAUUCAAGAAAAUUGGAAGCACUAAAAACAAAACCACCUACCUUUAGGAGUGAAAUACCUUUGAUCUCUUUUCUUCCCCUUCUUCAAGGGCUCAUGAAUACCAAAAAUUUCGGAGAACCUUAAGAUCACCUUUCCUUCUUCCACACAUAAAACUGGAAGUGGAGUCGAAACUUCUCCAUCUAAUGGCCCUUUCAGAAUAUCAGCAAGCUCCUGUUGGUAUUUAUGUUAACAGACUAAUAACAUUGGUUUUUAAUGGUAUUAAACAAACAUGUCAGCAAGAUUGGGUUUUGCAUUCGCGAGAUGACAGACAUAAUUAUAUCGAUAAACUUAAAUGGAAUAAAAGAAUGACAGAUGCUGCACGUCCAAGAAAUAGGUAGCUUGACACAAACCAAUCCACACAGGACAACAAAAUAUCUUUACCCACUAUAUCUUUGGCAUCAACUAUUAAAAGUGCAGAAUCACACCACCUCUUGCUUAUGGAUGAAUGAUGAAAUCAAAGUCAACCUUUUUCAGUUUAUUUCAAAAAGACUAAUCAUUUCUUUCUUUCUUUCUUUUUUUUUUUUUUUUUUUUUGAGGGCUAAGAGACAAAUACUUUUUUUUUUUUUUUUUUUUUUUUUUUUUUUUUUUUUUUUUUUUUUUUUUUUUUUUUUUUUUUUUUUUUUUUUUUUUUUUUUUUUUUUUUUUUUUUUUUUUUUUUUUUUUUUUUUUUUUUUUUUUUUUUUUUUUUUUUUUUUUUUUUUUUUUUUUUUUUUUUUUUUUUUUUUUUUUUUUUUUUUUUUUUUUUUUUUUUUUUUUUUUUUUUUUUUUUUUUUUUUUUUUUUUUUUUUUUUUUUUUUUUUUUUUUUUUUUUUUUUUUUUUUUUUUUUUUUUUUUUUUUUUUUUUUUUUUUUUUUUUUUUUUUUUUUUUUUUUUUUUUUUUUUUUUUUUUUUUUUUUUUUUUUUUUUUUUUUUUUUUUUUUUUUUUUUUUUUUUUUUUUUUUUUUUUUUUUUUUUUUUUUUUUUUUUUUUUUUUUUUUUUUUUUUUUUUUUUUUUUUUUUUUUUUUUUUUUUUUUUUUUUUUUUUUUUUUUUUUUUUUUUUUUUUUUUUUUUUUUUUUUUUUUUUUUUUUUUUUUUUUUUUUUUUUUUUUUUUUUUUUUUUUUUUUUUUUUUUUUUUUUUUUUUUUUUUUUUUUUUUUUUUUUUUUUUUUUUUUUUUUUUUUUUUUUUUUUUUUUUUUUUUUUUUUUUUUUUUUUUUUUUUUUUUUUUUUUUUUUUUUUUUUUUUUUUUUUUUUUUUUUUUUUUUUUUUUUUUUUUUUUUUUUUUUUUUUUUUUUUUUUUUUUUUUUUUUUUUUUUUUUUUUUUUUUUUUUUUUUUUUUUUUUUUUUUUUUUUUUUUUUUUUUUUUUUUUUUUUUUUUUUUUUUUUUUUUUUUUUUUUUUUUUUUUUUUUUUUUUUUUUUUUUUUUUUUUUUUUUUUUUUUUUUUUUUUUUUUUUUUUUUUUUUUUUUUUUUUUUUUUUUUUUUUUUUUUUUUUUUUUUUUUUUUUUUUUUUUUUUUUUUUUUUUUUUUUUUUUUUUUUUUUUUUUUUUUUUUUUUUUUUUUUUUUUUUUUUUUUUUUUUUUUUUUUUUUUUUUUUUUUUUUUUUUUUUUUUUUUUUUUUUUUUUUUUUUUUUUUUUUUUUUUUUUUUUUUUUUUUUUUUUUUUUUUUUUUUUUUUUUUUUUUUUUUUUUUUUUUUUUUUUUUUUUUUUUUUUUUUUUUUUUUUUUUUUUUUUUUUUUUUUUUUUUUUUUUUUUUUUUUUUUUUUUUUUUUUUUUUUUUUUUUUUUUUUUUUUUUUUUUUUUUUUUUUUUUUUUUUUUUUUUUUUUUUUUUUUUUUUUUUUUUUUUUUUUUUUUUUUUUUUUUUUUUUUUUUUUUUUUUUUUUUUUUUUUUUUUUUUUUUUUUUUUUUUUUUUUUUUUUUUUUUUUUUUUUUUUUUUUUUUUUUUUUUUUUUUUUUUUUUUUUUUUUUUUUUUUUUUUUUUUUUUUUUUUUUUUUUUUUUCUUUCUUUUUUUUUUUUUUUUUUUUUUUUUUUUUUUUGAGGGCUAAGAGACAAAUACUUUCAUUUGACACACAAGAUAAUGAAACAUACAAAUAAUAGUACAAAUGAAGUACACUAUUCAAUGUUUAUAAUUGACAUCUAUAUAAACCGUGAGGUGAGGUUUAUGUCCAUCACUUAUCCUAUAUAUGUGUAGAUGGAACUCUGCUAGUGGGAAGUAUGCGGAUCAAAUUAAAUGGUUUCAGCCAAUUUCUUCUUUCUUUUUGGGGGGGUGGGUAGGGCCCACUUGGGACUGCUGCACUGUGCACGACAGUACAGAACAGGGCCAUAAUAUCUAGCACCCUUUGCAACAUGCAGCAACUGAUAUGAGUAAUUCAUUCCCAGGAAAAAUAAGACUCUCAUUAUUUGGCUUUGUAUCCAAAUGCAAUCCAGUGAGAUGGAGUGAUAUAAUGGAAAUCAUGUAGUGGGCCCAAUCAUGAAGUUUGUAAAAUUCAUUCUUGAAAUUGCAUUAUUCACGAAAAAAAAAUAGACCUUCAUUUAAUUUCAUUAAAUUUCCAUCUCUAUACAUAUGACAACAGGAAUAUGAUAAGAGCAAGUUUUGACAACACGAUUUCCCAACUCGUAGAUCAGCAGGAGACAAAAGAUAUGAGUAGGCAAAGAACUCGUAUACUUAUUUGAUUAACCCACAAGUUUUGAUGGUUUGAUAACAAGAGUAUAAAAAGCACCUACAAAAAAAGCCCAACAUAAAAAAGCACCCACAAACUACAGGUUGUACCACCUGCCCAUAUGGUCGGUAACUAGUUUGACCAAGAAGCAAAAAUACACACAUACAACAAGAGUAGUUUCCGCAAAGCAGCUCAGGACUUAAUUAUUGCCAAUUACACAUUUCCAAAACAGUGUUACUAAUAAACAUUUGUUGCUUCUAACCAAAUAGUGCAUAUUUCCUCAGAAUUUUCAUUGCAAAUAUGUUACGUAAUUAAUUUUCCCAUAGGAUAUCCUACAAGCUCGAUGCCACAUCAUGCCAUAUCAUGAAUGCAGGAUAUUCAUCUAAGAUAUGAAUCAAACAAUCCUGAAAAGCAAAAGCAUAUCAUCCUGAAUCCACUGAUUCAGAGUAAUCGCAUUUCAUUUGCAACAAUUCCACCACUUUCUUUCAGUCUUUAGAGUGAAAAGUGGAAACUAAGGGUUACUCAUCAAAACACUUUUUUAGACAUUCUAAUAUAAGAAGACAUUUACACGAUAAAAGAAAUUAAAAAAAAAAAAAAUCGUAAGGGCAAUGGAAUGACAAUAUCUAGAAAUGAUAAGAAAAUUACUAGGCACCAACUGACCUCAUCAUAAUCUUGUACCCCAGCUGUUGUAUCUUCUUCAGCACCCAAAGAGCCAACUUGUAGAUUGCCCUCUGGGGAUUUUUCCCCAUCUGGAACUGCUAUAGCACACUCAGCCUGCCCCCCUGGAAAUAAGACAGAAAGUCAAAACACCAAAUAAAACUAUGAAAAGAAAAUCAAUUGUCAAAAGUUAUCAAAUGGUCAAGAAACAACGAUAACUAGAUAUCCAAAGAAUAAAUUACUAUACAUUCAGGAAAGAAGGAAACUCAGUCUCCAAAAAAUGACAAGCAUAAAACCAUUCUGGUCUCCACAGAUAAAAUUCUCCUAUCACUAGGUAAGAUUGCUUCAUUAGAUAACCUAUAAACAUUCAAGUAAGUUCACCAUAAUUUGUAAGAGACAAAAAGGCUGGGGUCAGUAAACAUGGCAAAGGCUAAGUCGCAUUCAAACUAUGUACUCACCAUCCAACAACAUAACAAAUCAAAGCAAGUUUCUUCUUACAUGUGAAGAAGUUACAGAACAAUAAAAAACCCAUACUCAUACAAACAGUCGAUGAAAAAUGAACAUAGAUAUGAAAAUUUCUGUUUAGACAAUCUGAUGCUGAAAACACUCCAACCAAACAGAUGUUAGAGCUGGGCAAAGAUAAAUCGUAUUUUUAUGGAUACAUGAUGACAAGCCAAACCAAAUGUCCACAUGAAAUAAACAAUUACAAUGAUCAUAACAAUAAAAGUACACACACACACAUUGAAAUAUCUGUAUAUACAAGGUUAGUAGUUUUAAAUAUAAGAUUAGGUAAAGUAAACCUGAUAAGGUUGUUGUUGUAUCUUCAGUUUCUUUAUCCACCUCCUCAUGUUCCUUUUCCAGCUCCUCAUCCUCAUCAUAAUUUUCAUCAUCAAAUGGAAAAGCUGUAGGUUUCAAAGCAGCAAGAGAAACUUCAGCAGCAAAGUAUUCCUUCUUUGGUAACAAGUAGUCCUCCUCGCUAGCAAUUUGAAUCUCUGGCCCCUCAUACUGCUCAUCCAUAUCUUCAUAAUCUACUGCAUCUUCAGCCUUCUCAUCAUAAUCUAGAAGAACAAAACCAAAAAAAUUUAAUCACAAAACUUAACCAGAAAGAACAACUAUUUAAAACCGUGAAUUGGACUGAAGUUCCAUCCAUUAUUCAGUAAAUCUAAAAUAGGAAUAAUCCCAUCUGUCCACCUAACAAUAAAUCAAGUAUUGAAGCUGUAAUCUAGAACAAAAGAUCAUUAACUAGAUUGUGAUGAAAAAAAUAAUCAUCUGUCUGCUAGAGGGUAAAGAAAAUAUAACCUCGGUAGUAAAAAGUACCAAGGAAAAAUUUAUAGUCAGAAACUGCAUAAAGAACGAACCAAUAUAGAGGGUAAAGCUUCUUAAUUCAUCAAUGACAUAAAACACAGACCAUCAAAGAAGAUAAUGAAUAUUACAAAAGUGAACCAGAGGUCCAUUAACUAAAAUCUUCCCCGCAGUGUAGAACACCAAAAGCUAUACAAAAUUUUCAAAAAGGAACCCUUGAAACCCAAGACACAAGAAUAAGAAUCCAAACUAACAAAAUUAACUCAAAACUGGAUCCCAAUCAAGCUGAAUGAAAAAGAAUGUGUAAUCUUGAAAAUCCUUGGAAGUUGACACCCAAAUAGUAGAAAAGAAUCGAAUCCCGUCCAAUAACCAUUAAAUAUCUUCAUCUUUUUCCCCUAAAAAAAUAUGGCUAUUUCUCUUUUUCUCCUAAAAAGAUACGGCUAUUUCUUUCUUGCCGAAUCACCCAAAAGAGAACUCCAUACAAAGGUAAUAUCACAAUUGAUUAUGAUAGGUUAUACUAAUUGUGGAAUUAAGGGUAUAAAAGGCCAAGCUGUAUUUGACUGGAGGGUAAUUCCACUUACUGAAACCACUUCACACAUAUCCAAAUCCCAAAAUAAUAGCAAAAGAAGGCCCCCUACUGGAUAUUGCACAAUAAUAAGUCUUGCAUGGACCAUUCUGUUUGUGCCAAUGAUUCAAAGACUUUUCCAUUACUAUUAAUGCUAAAUGCUUCUACAAUGUCUUUAAACAAAGGAAAUAAUUAUUAAGAAAACAAGUUGAUGAAACAAAGAUACUAACAGAAAACCAAAAACUGCAUGAGAGAGAUUUUCCUGGGAAACAAACAUCACCUCGUUGAAUAGCAUCUACCGGCAGUUGUGGUGAAUUUACUGACAACUGAAAGGUGAAAAACCUCAUUAGUAUCAUACCAUUGAAGAGACACUAAAGAUUCCGCCAACCAAACACUAAAAACAAAAAAGUUGAAAACACGAUUGAGAAUUCCAUACGUCUACAUCCGUGAGAGAUGGACCCAACUUGUCGGCAACUGCAGCAAGGUGCUCCUUUGCGUCCUGAAAAUUAAUUGCAUCACUACCAUUAAUGUGAUCAACAGUUCUAGAGAUGAACUCUGAUGGCCCAAGAAAAAAAAUGAAAGAAAAUUCCAAAUCUAUAAAAACAGAAAUUGUAAACUCCUUUUGGCCAUACGAAAGCAAAAUUAAAUGUCAUUCUGUAGAGACCAAAUGGAUACAAAAACAUGAUAUAAUGAUACGUCAUUAUUUUCUUCAGCAUAUGUACCACAGAUCAAUACAUAAUAGCAGAACUGACACCAAUGAGCAUCAAAAUUGUCAGGUCUAGCCUUCUUAUUUCCAAUAAGUGGAUGCAUCAAAAGAGUAGAAUUCAACCAUGGUCCCCAAAGUAAAUGCCUCAAAAAAAAUCAAAAGAUUUGUGACAUGGAUAAACUUUAUAACAUGCACAAUUCACAAGGAAAAGCUAAAAACAUCCAACUGAAGACUGUCAUGCUUAGACUUGUCUGCAUGCAGCUAGCUGUUAUCAUUAUUAGUUAAUUUAUAUGCAAAUUUAUACAUGAAACAUGUUCAGAUUAUCACCUCAUCAAGGUAAUCAACAUCGAGAUCGCCAGCAUUGUCAACAUUCCCGAACAUAAACCCCAAAAGCCUGUUACCGCCGCUAACAUCCUCAUAUUCUUCCGCAUCAUCUGGAAAAUCAAUCAACCAAACAAGAUUUGAGAAUAAAAAUUUUCAUGCCGUGUACAAACACAUUGUAAGGUGUCAAAAGAAAACAAAAUGCAGUACAUAUAGACAACAAGCAAAUGCUCAACCAGUCGUGAAAAGGUUCCAAGUAAAACCAUUUCUAAAAGAAACAGUCUGUCACAUGUUACAUAAUAAUUACAGCAUUCAUUAUACUGGAGACCAACCUUUAUGUUGCCAUUCGUACUAGAGACUAUUUGUAACUAAUCAGCAAUAAAUUGGUGAAGUGAAACCAAAAACAAGUGAGCUACUUUCUGAUGAAGCAUCCUAGACAUGUCCAUUGAUAGACUCUGAGCACUUCUUACCAUAAAAUCUUUUUUCAAAACAAAAAAAAAAAGAACAAAAACUCUGAGCACUCACUCCCAGCAAAAACGGAAAUGAAUUCAUAAAAUGAAAGUUCUAAAAUGCAGUACUAACGAGAUAAUUUCACUUAGGAGCCAUUUAGAUAUUUCAAAUGACGAUAUUUUGCAUAUUAAAGGAGUAAUCAAUACAACAUUUUGAUGGUUCAUACAGUAUGCAUUACAAAUUUAAUUUAUACUCUCAAACCUAGUGUUUCAGCCUCUAUUUUCAUUAUGCAACUACAAAUUCAUGUGUAUAUUAAUAGUUCAUAGAAGACUAUUCAAGUACAGUACAACAUAAUACACUUUUUUUUUCCCUGAAACGAAAGUAAAUAUAACAUUAAAUCAAGAACUCACUAGACUAUGAAGCAACUAACUGACCUUCAUCUCUGCCAUCCUUAGAAGCACUACCCGAAUCGUAGCCACCCAUCUUUUUAGUUACAGCUCUGAAGUAACAAUCAAAGUUGAAUCAGAAACAGGUAACAAAUACUCAGAAGACCCAUAAUAGAAAUUCCAAGUUCGACACUUUUUUCUCCUUUUCAGUAAUUUUAAGGGAAAGUACCAAUAAAUUAUAAGAGCUAUAAAUUAUAAACCCUAAAAUGCGAAGCUCAUACUGACAACAAAUUCAUUGUAAAGAAUUAAAAAAUUGCUAGCACGAAAAAUAAAAAAAUUACUUCAGUAAUUGCAACAAGAGGUUACUAUAACUUCAUCUAAAUAACUGAAUUUCAAAAGGAAACAAAGCUAAGACAAGCUUAAUUCACAAGAAAAGGGUAAUUGCCGCAAAAAAGAUAAAUAUAUCUGCUGUACCGUACAUCCGCCUUGGCCGUACAGCAGGCUCACCAAUGUGAAAUCAUAACUGUUGUCAAAAGUUAUCAAAUGGUCAAGAAUCAAUUACUAUACAUUCAGGAAAGCAGGAAACUCAGUCUCCACAAAAUGGCAAGCAUAAAACCAUUCUGGUCUCCACAGAUAAAAUUCUCCUAUCAGUAGGUAAGAUUGAUUCAUUAGAUAACCUAUAAAUAUUCAAGUAAGUUCACCAUAACUUGCAAGAGCAAAAAGGCCGGGGUCAGUAAACAUGGCAAAGGCUAAGUUGCAUUCAAACUACGUGCUCACCAUCCAACAACAUAACAAAUCAAAGCAAGUUUAUUCUUACAUGCGAAGAAGUUACUAAACAAUAAAAAACCCAUACUCAUACAAACAGUCCAUUAAAACUGAGCAUAGAUAUGAAAAUUUCUGUUUACACAAUCUGAUGCGGAAAACACUUCAACCAAACAGAUAUUAGAGCUGGGCAGAGAUGAAUCCUAUUUUUAUGGAUACAUGAUGACAAGCCAAACCAAAUGUCCACAUGAAAUAAAUAAUUACAAUGAUCAUAAUAAUACAAGUACACACGCUCGCGUGCGCAUCGAGAUAUAUGUAUAUAUGUAUUGAAUAUACAUAUAAGGUUAGUAGUUUUAAAUCUAAGAUUAGGUAAAGUAAACCUGAUAAGAUUGUUGUUGUAUCUUCAGUUUCUUUAUCCACCUCUUCAUGUUCCUUUUCCAGCUCCUCAUCCUCAUCAUAAUUUUCAUCAUCAAAUGGAGAAGCUGUAGGUUUCAAAGCAGCAAGAGAAACUUCAGCAGCAAAGUAUUCCUUCUUUGGUAACAAGUAGUCCUCCUCGCUAGCAAUUUGAAUUUCUGGUCCCUCAUACUGCUCAUCAAUAUCUUCAUAAUCAACCGCAUCUUCAGCCUUCUCGUCAUAAUCUAGUAGUACAAAACCAAAAAAAUUUAAUCACAAAACUUGACCAGAAAUAACAACUAUUUAAAACUGUGAAUUGGACUGAAGUUCCCUCCAUAAUUCAGUAAAUCUAAAAGACGAACAAUCCCAUCUCUCCACCUAACAAUAAAUCAAACAUUUGAAGCUGUAAUGUAGUACAAAAAUCAUUAACUAGAUUGUGGUGAAAAAAAUAAUCAUCUAUCUGCUAGAGGGUAAAGAAAUUAUAACCACCGUGGUAAAAAGUACCAAAGAAAAAUUUAUAGUCAGAAACUGCAUAAAGAACGAAUCAAUAAAGAGGGUAAAGCUUCUUAAUUAAUCAAUGACAUAAAACACAGACCAUAAAGCUCAAAAAAUACGAUCUUGUUCAAUGAAAACCUCAAAAACUAUUGUCAGAUCAUAUUAGUUCAACAUCUCAUUAUAUCACCUUUGAGACAUUUUAUCAGUUGUCCUACAUACAAAGGUAAUUUUCUUUUUAUAGGAAACAGAGAAACUUUAUAGAAUAUUAGAAGGUAAUGAGUAUUACACAAGUGAACCAGAGGUCCAUAAACUAAAAUCUUCCCCACAGUGUAGAACACCAAAAGCCAUACAAAAUUUUCAAAAAGGAACCCUUGAAACCCAAGACACAAGAAUAAGAAUCCAAACUAACAAAAUUAACUCAAAACUGGAUCCCAAUCAAGCUGAAUGAAAAAGGAGUAAUCUUGAAAAUCAUUGGAAGUUGACACCCAAAUAGUAGAAAAGAAUCGAAUCCUGUCCAAUAACCAUUAAUAUCUUCAUCUUUUUCCCCUUAAAAAAUAUGGCUAUUUCUCUUUUUCCCCUAAAAAAAUAUGGCCAUUUCUUUCUGACAAGUCACCAAGAAGAGAACUACAUACAAAGAUAAUAUCACAAUUGAUUACGAUACGUCAUACUAAUUGCAGAAUUAAGGGUAUAAAAGGCCUAGCUUUAUUUGACUGGAGGGUCAUUCCACUGACUGAAACCACUUCACACAUAUCCAAAUCCCAAAAUAAGAGCAAAAGAAGGCCCCCUACUCCAUUACUAUUAAUGCUAAAUGCUUCCACAAUGUCUUUAAACAAGGGAAAUAAUUAUAAAAAAAAACAAGUUGAUGAAACAAAGAGACUAACAGAACACCAAAAACUGCAUGAGAGAGAUUUUCCUGACAAACAAACAUCACCUUGUUCAACAGCAUCUACCGGCGGUUGUGGUGAAUUUACUGACAACUGGAAGGUGAAACACCUCAUUAGUAUCAUACCAUUUAAGAGACACUAAAGAUUCUGCUGACCAAACAGUAAGAACAAAAAAGUUGAAAACAUGAUUGAGAAUUCCAUACGUCUAUAUCCGUGAGAGACGGACCCAACUUGUCGGCAACUGCAGCAAGGUGCUCCUUUGCGUCCUGAAAAUUAAUUGCAUCACUACCAUUAAUGUGAUCAACAGUUCUAGAGAUGAACUCUGAGGGGAAAAAAAUGAAAGAAAAUUCCAAAUCUAGAAAAACAGAAAUUGUAAACCCCUUUUGGCCAUACGAAAGCAAAACUAAAUGUAGUUCUGUAGAGACCAAAUGUAUACAAAAACAUGAUAUAAUGAUACGUCACUAUUUUCUUCAGCAUAUGUACCACAGAUCAAUACAUAAUAGCAGAACUGACACCAAUAAGCAUCAAAAUUGUCAGGUCUAGCCUUCUUAUUUCCAAUAAGUGGAUGCAUCAAAAGAGUAGAAUUUAACCAUGAUCCCCAAAGUAAAUGCCUCAAAAAAAUCAAAAGAUUUGUAACAUGGAUAAACCUUAUAACAUGCACAAUUCACAAGGAAAAGCUAAAAACAUCCAAGUGAAGACUGUCAUGGGUAGACAUGUCUGCAUGCGGCUAGGUGUUAUCAUUAUUAGUUAUUUUAUAUGCGAAUUUAUACAUGAAACAUGUUCAGAUUAUCACCUCAUCAAGGUAAUCAACAUCGAGAUCACCAGCAUAGUCAACAUUCCCGAACAUAAACCCCAAAAGCCUGUUACCUCCACUAACAUCCUCAUAUUCUUCCUCAUCAUCUGGAAAAUCAAUCAACCAAUCAAGAUUUGAGAAUAAUAAUUUUCAUGCUCUGUACAAACACAUUUUAAGGCGCCAAAAGAAAAAAAAAUGCAGUACAUAUAGACAACAAGCAAAUGCUCAACCAAAAGGUUCCAAGUAAAACUAUUUCCAAAAGAAGCAGUCCGUCACAUGUUACAUAACAAUUCAAGCAUUCAUUAGACUGCAGACCAACCUUUAUGUUGUCUUUUGUACUAGAGACUAUUUGUAACGAAUCAGCAAUAAAUUGGUUAAGUGAAACCAAAAACAAGUGAGUUACUUUUUGUUGAAGCAUCCUAAACAUGUCCGCCGACAGACCCUGAGCACUUCUUGCCAUAAAUUUUCUGUUUUUUUAAAAAAAAAAAGGAACAAAGACUCUGAGCACUCACUCCUAGCACAGACAGAAAUGAAUUCAUAAAAUGAAAGUUCUAAAACACAGUACUAACGAGAUAAUUUCACUUAGGAGCCAUUUAGACAUUUCAAAUGACAAUAUUUUGCAUAUUAAAGGAGUAAUCAAUACGACAUUUAGAUGGUUCAUACAUUUUGCAUUACAAAUUUAAUUUAUACUCUCAAACCUAGUCUUUCAGCAUCUAUUUUCAUCAAGCAACUAUAAAUUCAUGUGUAUAUUAAUAAUUCUUAGAAGACUAUUCAAGUACAGCACAACGUAAUACACUUUUUUUUUAUAACUGAAAUGAUAGUAAAUAUAAAUUAAAUCAACAACUUAUUAGACUAUGAAGCAACCAACUGACCUUCAUCUCUGCCAUCCUUAGAAGCACUACCCGAAUCGUAGCCACCCAUCUUUUUAGUUACAGCUCUGAAGUAACAAUCAAAGUUGAAUCAGAAACAGGUAACAAAUACUCAGAAGACCCAUAAUAGAAAUUCCAAGUUCUGCACUUUUUCUUCUUUUCAGUAAAUUUAAGGGAAAAUACCAGUAAGUUAUAAAUUAUAAACCCUAAAAUGGCAAAGCUCAUACUGACAAAAAAUUCAUUGUAAAUAAUUAAAAAAUUGCUAGAACGAAAAAUAAAAAAUUACUUAAGUAAUUGCAACAAGAGGUUACUAUAACUUCAUUUAAAUAACUGAAUUUCAAAAGGAAACAAAGCGAAGACAAGCUAAAUUCACAAGGAAAGGUAAUCGCCACAAAAAAUAUAAGAUAUGCACACACAUAUUUAUUUGUUUAUUUAUUUAUUUAUUUAUAUGAGAGAGGUAAAAGCAAACCUCUUAGGUUACAGAGAUUUUAUCAUUGCAAUCGAGAAUAUGAAUACGCUCAUGUAGAAGAACUAGAACAAGAUUCGAUUUGAAUUGGCAAGGAGAACAGAGAAAGUGAGCGAGAGCGAGACAACAAAAGCGGAGAUGGGGGACUAACAGAUUAUUUUUAUAUCAAUAUUAUGUGAAUAAAUUAAUAAAGUUUUCGUAUCUGAAACGGAUAUGGAGAGGUCGGGUUUUAGAGGAAGGCGGUCGCAAAUACGGGUUUGCAUCGGGUUAAUUGCAACCUGAUACAAAACAAAUCCUAUUGGCCAUACCAUUGAGCUACAAAGUGAGAAGUUUCGUGGCUUCGACGGAGACAGCUCCAACCCGAUCUCCCGCGGUCUAGUACAAAAGCCUCACACUCAUGAGAUUUGAAGUUUCAGGCUGAGGUAACUCUUGUCUUAACUCUAAUUAAUCGGCCUGAUUCCUUAACUGACUUAUGAGACUAGUAAGGCUUCGCUGUCCUCCCCCUAAUUGGUAUUUUCUAGGUUGGUAAAUUGCAGGCUUGAGCUGGGCUUUUUUAAGUCCAAGCCCAUGUAAUUGGUAAGGGGCCCAAGCCCUCUAAAAGCUUGUUCAAAAUUUGAGAGGGCCGGGCUUUGAUUUUUAAUAAUUUAAUAAAUUUUUAUUUUUAUUUCUUUUUUAUUGGGUGAGAGCUACAUAUGGCAUUUUCAUUUAUAGAUGGAAACUUUUUGGGAAAUUUACAGUAAUAAUUAUUAAAGUUUUAAUUUUUUUCAUCUUAACCCCCCAAAAUAUUUCUAUCAAUAUUAGCCAUAAAACAACUUUUGAGACCAAAAUACCCCUCCCUCAUCUCUCCCUCAACACUGCCUUUCACUCAUCUCUCCCAAACCGAUCCAACUCCCAUCAUCGGCGGCGACAUCAACCCUCGUCGGCGGCGGCUCCAUCUCUCACCGGCAACCGAUCUACUAUCUACAACCUUCAACAAAACUUAGGUUAGUCAUUUUUCUUAUUUUCAUUAAUUUAAAAUGAGAUUUUAGAAUAAUGAUAAGUGCAUAUUUUUCAUAUAUUUUACUAUUAAUUUCUCCAUCUUUUUCUUGUUUUGGUCUUAAAUAUUCUAAUUAUUUUAGUUAAUUUUUAAAUUAUACAUAUUUUACCCUUAAUUAUUUAAUUACUAGUUAUUUUUAUUUGUUAUUUUUAAUUAAUUAAAUUAUUUUAUUGAAUAGGGAAUCAAUUGGAGAUUAUGAAUAAAAAGGGCAUGAAGAAGUUCAAAUUGAGAAGGAAUAAAGAUUAAAUUGGAAGACAAAAAUACAGACAAAAAUUGAUAAAACCGAGUGGAAGAAAUCAAAAUAAUUAAUCCAAUUGAGAAAUGUUGAAUAAUUAAAAGAUUUAAUUUUUUCCAAUUGGCAAUUGGAGUACAUGUGCAUGGCAUUGCAAAAGUAGAAAGCAUUUAAACAGGCCCGCAAUUGACUUUCAAAAGUUGGAAUUAAUGGCUUUUGGUGGCGUUAAAUUGGAAAAGGAUUUCAAUUAGAAUUGAAAAAGGAUUUCUUUAUUCUUGUUGGAGAAGAAUUCGGUCAACUAGCAUUAUAAAAGGAGAUUGCAGCCGCUGGACAGAAAAAAAGAGGAGGGCAAAUCCAAUUCGGCAGCAAGAGGAAAAUCAACAGCCGCAAGAAGAAGAAAAAAAUCAGCAGCCGGAAUUCAAUUGAAGAAAAAGGCAGCCGCUUGAAUUAAUCUCAAUGAUUGGUUUUUUCAAUUCUCUUAUUUCCAAUUCAAUCAUGUUAGGCUAGAUUUUUAUUUGGUUGAGGGUGAAUUCAAAACCCUAAACAUGCUAUGCAAUUAAAUUUAAAUUCUAUCAUUCAAUUUAUUUAAUUGAGAUUGUUUAUGUUCUUUUAUAAUUAAUAUUCAUGGUUUAUUCUUGUUUUAUUUGAGUGGCCAAUUAGAUAGGACUUGAAUAAAUUUUAUUGCUAGAUUAAAAUUCUUGAUUCGUAAUUGUCUUGAUAUUUUAAUAAUUAGUAGCAGGUUAGAAUCAGUGAUUUCGAUUAGAGAACAUAACUUAGGUUAAAUAAUCCGAGCUUGUGUGUUUAUUGCCUAGAUCAACCUAAUAUCUUUCUUUGUUUAAUGCUUCCAUUAUCUUAAAUUUAAAGAGCUUGUUUUAAAUUAUUUAAUGGUUAGAGAUUAGGUGAAGAGCUUGUUUUGCCUAACGACACACUAAGGAAAGAUUGAGACUAACAGAGCUUAUUGUUGUCUACGGUUGAUAGUUUCAAUAUAAAUUGAUGAUAGAAUUAAUAUAUUAUGUGCAUGUUUGGUGGUGGCGAAUGAUCCUUUAACCAAAGUUUUCAUCAUUAUUAUUUCUUUCUCCUUUAAUUAGAGUUUUUAUUAAAUUCUUGUUCGUAAUUUUAAUUUCUUUAUUUCUUACUAUUUAGUUAAAAAUUCAUAAAUCCCCCUUUUAUUUUUAAUUGGCAUUUUCUUUAGUUAGAUUAAUUUAUAUUAUUAUUACUAUUACUAUUAUUAUUAUUACUAUUAUUUUAUUUUAAAUCUUGCUUUUGAGUUAAUAAUAAAUAUAACUAGCAUAGUCUAUGUGGGAUCGAUCCUUACUCGCUCUGUACUAAUUAUUUAUAUUAGUGGUAAGGUUUUAAAUUUGGUGCACCUUAACGACACUACCAAAUUUUUGGCGCCGUUGCUGGGGACUAGCGUCUAGUUUGUUUAUUAUCACUUGUUUUAUUUAUUUAUUUUCUUUAUUUCUUUUCUCAUUUUAUUUAUUUAUUUUAUUUUAAUUAGUUAUUUUUUGUUUUAUAUUUAGAUUUUCAUGAGCAUAGAGGACAUUCGAUUGAAACUCGAACAACUUAGAGCAAUCUCAUCAUAUUCAUAACUCGAUUUUGCCAUCCACAUUCCACUGCCAUUCACAUUCCACUCCCGAAAACAGAACCAAGCAGCCCAGAACCCGAACCAAUGGCUCAGAAUUGUAUUUAUGGAUGAUUUUACAGUUUAUUUUGAUUCUUUCGAUAAAUGUUUAGAUAACCUUACACUUGUUCUUAAACGAUGCAUUGACACUAACCUUGUGCUUAAUUGAGAAAAAUGUCAUUUUAUGGUUAAUCAAGGUAUUGUACUAGGCCAUGUUAUUUCUGAAAAGGGGAUUGAAGUUGAUAAAUCUAAGAUAGAUCGUAUACGCUCCUUACCACCUCCCACUAGUGUGAGGGAGGUUCGUUCUUUUCUUGGUCAUGCAGGUUUCUAUCGCAGGUUUAUCAAGGACUUCUCCAAGAUAGCUUUACCUCUCUGCAACUUACUUCAAACGGAUGCAACGUUUGACUUCAAUGAAGAGUGCCAAAGAGCUUUUAAGAAGUUAAAAGAGGUUUUGACAUCGGCCCCUGUGAUUCAACCACCAAACUGGGAUUUACCAUUUGAGAUUAUGUGCGAUGUCAGUGACUAUGCUGUUGGAGCCGUGUUGGGCCAGCGUGUGGCCCAGCUUCCUCAUGUCAUCUAUUAUGCCUCUCGUACAUUGAAUGAUGCACAACUUAACUACUCUACCACAGAAAAAGAACUUUUAGUAGUUAUCUUUGCCUUAGAGAAAUUUCAUUCUUAUUUAAUUGGAUCUAAGGUAAUCGUUUACUCUGACCAUGCAGCUAUUAGGUACUUGCUCACCAAAAAGGAUGCCAAACCGCGCCUUAUACGAUGGAUACUUCUAUUGCAAGAAUUUGACAUAGAGAUUCUAGAUAAGAGAGGUUCUGAGAAUUUGGUAGCAGAUCAUUUAAGUCGACUUAUCCAUAACGAAGAUGAACUUCCAUUGCAUGAGAACUUUCCAGAUGAGCAGUUAUUACAGGUAGGUACAGUUACUCCUUGGUAUGCAGAUAUUGUCAAUUACUUAGUUACCAGGACAAUACCAGAAGAGAUAACCCAUACUUGUGGAAGCAUUGUUCUGAUCAAGUUAUUAGAAGGUGUGUACCCGAAACUGAAUUUACUUCUAUUCUCACCUUUUGUCAUACUUUGGCUUGUGGAGGACAUUUUGGACCAAAGAGAACAGCCCUUAAAGUACUUGCGAGCAGUUUUUAUUGGCCAUCACUAUUUAAGGAUGCAUAUUUAUUUUGCAAAUCUACGAUCUACAACCUUCAACAAAACCUAGGUUAGUCAUUUUUCUUAUUUUCAUUAAUUUAAAAUGAGAUUUUAGAAUAAUAAUAGUUAUAGCUUGAGAAUAAUGGUGGCGGUGGUGAUGUUUGUGGUGGUUGGUGGUAUUUGGGGGUAUUGUUUUUUGAUUUUGGAGUGUUGUGGCUUAAUUUUGGGGGUGGGGAGGGAGGGGGGCAGGGCGCGCGCGCGCGCCCAUCGCUGGGCAGCAGCGCGCGGCCAUGCGCGGCACGCUGUUGCACCAAAUCAGCGUGCCCAUCGCUGGGCAGCAGCGCGCGCCCAUGCGCGCCUCGCUGUCGCACUAGAUUUGGUACGACAGGCGCCUGUCGCACCAAAAAUUAGAGUGUCCUUUUUUUCACGAGUCAAAUUUUUUUUUUUUUGUAAAUGUAAUGUAAUAAUUUUAUAAAUAUUACAGAUUCAUGGCGAAAUUAGAAUCACCGGAUAUCGAAGUAGGCAAGAUGUAUUUUCGUUAUGCCGAUCACUUUCCUGGUCGAAUUUCGAGCAUGUGUAAGUUAUCUUCGGUCGUAAAAGCCAUCGAGGAAAAAUUAACAAAGCGGCAGUUGAGUAUGUUCAAAAAGGAUAUAUUUGGGCAUUUCUUGGAGUGUCGAAGUUUUCCAUUUAGUGGGGUAAUUUUGCACAAUCUUUUACUGAGGCAAGUGGCCCAUGAAGAAGAUAGCCGUGAGGAUCAGUUAUGAUUUCAAAUUGGUGAGCAUUUGAUUCGCUUGUCAAUUGUCGAAUGGUGCUUGGUUACUGGACUUUCAUUUGUUGUUGAUACCAAUCAAAAAAAUGAUGAAAUGGAGCAGAGGCUACGGAAUACGUAUUUUGGUGGUGUGCAUCGUAAGAUUAAUGUGAACCAAUUCGAUGCAGUAUUUAAGAAGUUGAAAUUCGAGGAAAUGGACGAUAUGGACGCAUUAAAGAUUGCGCUGUUUUAUUUUGCGGACAGAGUACUAAAUGCAAGAAAAAAUCACUGUCAAAUCAAUUUCGAUUGGCUUGACCAAGUUGAUGAUAUACAGUACUUCCGAAACCAUCCAUGGGGUCUUGUGUCAUGGGAAAUGAUAUACGAUAGUCUUGACAAUGCACUGUUCGAGAAAGACAAUGGAAGCCCAUGGCGUCUUCGAAAAUCAACUUUGCGGAGGUUUAUUCGUUCUUCAACGACGAAUCUCGUCUUGUAAGUAAUAUGUAUUUUUUUUUUAACUUUACUAAAUUUAAGUUAUGUAUACUUACUUAAAAUUUUCAAUUGAAUUUAUGGCAGGGGGACGUUUUACAAACUCUUGAGCCAAAUUCAAAGGAGAGUAGCAGAAAAUAUUGGCUCUCUCUGUGAAGGAUUACUUGCCAAGCAUUCCAGACUGGGUUCAUAAGGUCGGUAUACUCUAAGUACUAAAAAUUUUUUAAUCGAAAUUUUUGACUUUUCAUUUACUAAUUUUAAAUGAUACUUUAUACAGCACCAACCCUCAAUCAACGCGAUGCGGUCGGUUACAAGGCAAUCAGACAAGCAUGAUGAUCACGACGACAUACCAAACCCAAUACCAGAGCAGCGUCAUGACACUUCUGAGGAUGAGGUGGCUGUUGAUGACCACCAGCAGCAAACAGACUACUCUGGAAUGGAAGCCCAUGGCGUCUUCAAAAAUCAACUUUGCGGAGGUUUAUUCGUUCUUCAACGACGAAUCUCGUCUUGUAAGUAAUAUGUAUUUUUUUUUACUCUGAUGAUGCAUGGGAUUCUGAGGUUAUAAAUAAUAUACGAUAUUUUUCCUUUAUAAAUUAUUAUUUUUUAUUGUUAUUCUAAAGUUUUAUUUUUUCUUUUGUAAUAGUCGAGGACAAAGCAGUUUAAUGAUUACAUAUAACGACGGCUAGAUAAGAUUGAUCGUAACGUGUAUGAAAUAAAGUCAGAAUUAAAAGAUUUUAAAGAAACCGUUGUUGGCUUCAUCGACACAUUUUCUAAACGUCCAAAUAAGGAUUCUCCCACUGCACGCUCGUAUGCGGUGAGCAAAUUUAAAUUUAAUAAUUAUGUUCGUUUAACUUUUAAUUUGAUAGUUGUUUAAUAUGUUCNNNNNNNNNNNNNNNNNNNNNNNNNNNNNNNNNNNNNNNNNNNNNUGUAUACUGUUGUGGAUUUGUGUAUAAAUUUUUUUUUAAAUCGUAAUAUUUCUGUUUCUCUACAGCAUAUUCACGAGUAUCUCCGCUUGAUUAGCGAGAAACAACGGCAGUAUCCAAAUGCCUUACUCCAACGUGUCACACAUACUGACACAUUUUUUUGGGUAACGUGCCGACAAAACUUAUAAAUACUAUUUAAUUUUUUUUAAUUAUUGCCUUUAAGUUUUGUUCAUUUAUGCAUUUCUUGGUUAUCUAUGUACUAGGUGUUCUUGAAUCAGUUAUGGAAUAACGGGGAUUGUUCGGUCGAUUCAUUGGUAUUCGACGACCGCUUGAAUAGAUAUCUUUGUGGGCGACAGCACACAAUGUCCAAAUCAAUGACGGAUGUCGAUAUGGUAUGUAUUUUAUUGCAUUUCACAUACUCCAUAAUGAAAAUAUUCGAGUUGUCGCUUUUUUUUGUUGUAUUUCAAUUUCAUAUAUAACGAACAUGUUUUUCAAUUUUAAUAUACAGUUACUCAUCCUUGUUAACUUGGACGGCGCGCAUUGGGUACUAGCACGAGUUGACUUUCGGAACAAUAAAGUCUGGAUUUAUGACUCAUUACUCACAUUUCGCGACGACAAAAGGUACAAGUUGAAAUUCAAGCCACUUGAAGUUAUAUUCCCUCGAUGGUUGGAAUAUGUUGGCUUUUACAACAUCCGACCCGAGUUGCGAAGUGUAGACCCCUGGAAAGUUAUCGCAGUUAAGAGCGCGCCACAACAAGAGCCCGAAACUGGCGAUUGCGGUGUUUUUGUAUUGAUGGUUACGAUGUAUUUAAUGUUCGGGCUUGGAUUGGAGUUUAACGCUAGUCAUGUCGAGUACUUUAGAAAGAAGAUUGCGGUUGACAUAUUUAAUGACGAUAUUGUAUUGUAAACCGUUGUAGUAAUUUGAAUGUUGAAACUUGAAUUUUUAUUUUAAUUUGCGCACUUAAAUUUAUAUAAUUUUAAUGCUCACAUUUUAAUAUUUAAAAUAAAAAUAAAAUUUUAUGACAUAUAAGUGUACAAUACACAAAAAACAAUUACAGUUUUAACCAACGAAAUACAAAAAGAACUAACUUCGAGUCGACGCAAUGGGAUUCUUACAUCGCUUAACCUUUACCUCGACCACAAAUCAUGGCGCAUGCGAUUGACAUGAGUAUGAGUGUGGAUGUAAAUCCACUGAGAGGAUUGGAGGACUCUAGUUUGUUUGCUGAGUUUGAUCGAUGGUUCACUGGUGAUAGCAAAGUCCGCCGGAGAGUCCAGCACCCGCGGUCAUUCUUUCAAAUACUUUUGGGUACAGCUUCGAUGGGAUGGCUAGGCAAUAAGGUAUUUAUAUUUUCGAAGUUAUGUAUACUGUUGUGUUGUGGAUUUGUUUCACCAAAAUUUUUCUUUUAAAUCGUAAUAUUUUUGUUUCUCUAUAGCAUAUUCACGAGUAUCUCCGCUUGAUUAGCGAGAAACAUGGAAUAACGGGGAUUGUUCGGUCGAUUCAUUGGUAUUCAACGACCGCUUGAAUAGAUAUCUUUGUGGGCGACAGCACACAAUGUCCAAAUCAAUGACGGAUGUCGAUAUGGUAUGUAUUUUAUUGCAUUUCACAUACUCCAUAAUGAAAAUAUUCGAGUUGUCGCUUUUUUUUGUUGUAUUUCAAUUUCAUAUAUAACGAACAUGUUUUUCAAUUUUAAUAUACAGUUACUCAUCCUUGUUAACUUGGACGGCGCGCAUUGGGUACUAGCACGAGUUGACUUCUCUCGCCCGAUAUGCCUGCUGGUAUGUUAACUGAACACCGUAUUCCUGUUGCAUAUCUGCUCUUAUGUCAUUCGGAGUAUAAAUCCUCUUGUCUUGAAUAUAUUUUUCUGCGAUAAUAUGACCGACAACCCAGCUCCUUACUUGAUGACGUCCAUCAACCAAUACCUCAUUAUGACAAGUGUGUACAUUGUCAAUUCUCUUUACCACCCAAGGAAUAUUUUGCUCGUUCGAACAUCUAGUUGCUUGAAUACGCCAUUUACAUGAUUCUGAACAACAGUGAGCCUCGAAACGUGUCAUAGUAGACCGUGCAAUCUUGAAAUCAAACUUAUCUCUAAAGGCAACCUUGCGUAGUUGUAAUAUAAACUUAUUCUUCUCAGCAAAUAGCUUACCCACACUGAUAUCAUCUGAAUCACAACUGCUAACAAAGCUUGGAGCAACCAUGUUCGAAGGCAAAGUUGGAGCAAGACUUGUAAGGGGGUCAAUUCGCCUUCUCGAUCGAACCAUAGAAAGACUAGGUCUAUUGCCUCUGUUAUUCACAGGAGUAUUGUCUUCACACUCAUCGUCGUGCUGAAACGACGGAACAUUUGAAGGACCGACUCCUUCAUCAUCACCAUCAUUAUUGAAAUGAGUGCCCCUCGUAUUAUUAGAAGGUUCUGCACAAACAUUAUCCCCCUCUGUCUCAUGAUGAAAAUCAUCAUUAUCCCGAAAAUCAUUGUUGUGAUACGGAGAAUACCGUUGCUCCAACGACGUCGUUAUUGGAAAUACCGUUGCUCCAACAUCCUCAACGUAACGCCGUUAUCAUCAAUAUUGUCAUAAUUGUCGUGGAUUGGAGAGUAAUAUUGCUGCAGCGAUAUUGUCCCUAGCAACACCUCUUCAUCAUUAUCGGGGCCAGACAUAUUUGCUCUAAACGAAGUUUCUGUAUCGACAUGUGGCUCAAUACCUUCACUCGGAACUCGAAACACUCUGCAGGUGCAAGUUCUCUUUUGCAAGUCAACCAAACCUUCCUUAAGCCCACCGCCUAUAACUUGAAAUCGAUGCGGAGACACCGACCGAACUAUCAUUCUUUCAGCUAUAGUUCUCCUCUCACUGACUAUUUCAUCCGCCCAUGUUGUUAGCCGAGUAGUCAUUGAUUCAGCCACAAUUUUCCUAUCAUAAAACCAUUGCUACAUUGUUUUCCUAAAGUGAUCAACAAGAUGAGUAACAGGAAAUUUUUGAGGUUCCCGCAUGAAAGAAUUAACACUCUCCGUGAUGUUGGUGGUAAGUAUGUUGUACCACCUACCUUCAAACUGAGACCUUGCCCAAUUACACGUACCGACAUUAUUUUCUAGGUAAUCAGCCGCACCCGAGUGGAUCAUCCACAACCCUUCAAGUUGUCUCUUAAAUUCCUCGUGGCCAUAUGCUUUUGCUGCAUUAAUAAAGGCAGGCUCAAAUUCAUCCCAAAGAGCUUUGGACAUUCUAAAUUGUGACUUAAUGUUACCUUUGACGUGGUAAAAACAAACGCCAUGAGUUGCAUUGUGAAAUACUUUAAGAACGGCUCUCCUUAUGGCAGUGCAUCGAUUAGAGAUAAUUACCAACUUAGAUCUAUCGCCAAUCACACCGUGUAACUUCAUCAUAAACCAUUCCCAAGCAUCAUUGUUUUCUGAAUCCAUGAUCCCAAUGGCUAACAGAUACAAUUGAUUGUUACCAUCAAGACAUGUUGCCACGAACAUGCUUCCACGAUAUAGUCCCUUCAGAUGAGUACCAUCUACAGCAAUGACAGGCCUAAUGUACUGCAUAAAACCCUUGAUGGAAGAUCCGAGUGCUACAAAAUAGUACAAGAAAUUACCAUCUCCAUCUUGCUCGAGGUGAGUGACUGUACCCUCAUUCGCUGUAGUUAGUACGUGAGAGUAUUUAGGGAGCAAGUUGUAUGACUCUGCAGGGUUGCCUCGAACUAUUUCAAGACCAACUUCUCUCGCCCUAUAUGCCUGCUGGUAUGUUAACUGAACACCGUAUUCCUGUUGCAUAUAUGCUCUUAUGUCAUUCGGAGUAUAAAUCCUCUUGUCUUGAAUAUAUUUUUCUGCGAUAAUAUGACCGACAACCCGGCUCCUGACUUGAUGACGUCCAUCAACCAAUACCUCAUUAUGACAAGUGUGUACAUUAUCAAUUCUCUUCACCACCCAAGGAACAUGUUGCUCGUUCGAACUUCUAGUUGCUCGAAUACGCCAUUUACAUGAUUCUGAACAACAGUGAGCCUCGAAACGCGUCGUAGUAGACCGUGCAAUCUUGAAAUCAAACUUAUCUCUAAAGGCAACCUUGCGUAGUUGUAAUAUAAACUCAUUUUUCUCAGCAAAUAGCUUACCCACACUGAUAUCAUCUGAAUCACAACUGCUAACAAAGCUUGGAGCAACCAUGUUCGAAGGUAAAGUUGGAGCAAGACUUGUAAGGGGGUCAAUUCGCCUUCUCGAUCGAACCAUAGAAGGAAUAGGUCUAUUGCCUCUGUUAUUCACAGGAGUAUUGUCUUCACACUCAUCCUCAUGUUGAAACGACGGAACAUUCGAAGGACCGACUCCUCCAUCAUCACCAUCAUUAUUGAAANNNNNNNNNNNNNNNNNNNNNNNNNNNNNNNNNNNNNNNNNNNNNNNNNNNNNNNNNNNNNNNNNNNNNNNNNNNNNNNNNNNNNNNNNNNNNNNNNNNNNNNNNNNNNNNNNNNNNNNNNNNNNNNNNNNNNNNNNNNNNNNNNNNNNNNNNNNNNNNNNNNNNNNNNNNNNNNNNNNNNNNNNNNNNNNNNNNNNNNNNNNNNNNNNNNNNNNNNNNNNNNNNNNNNNNNNNNNNNNNNNNNNNNNNNNNNNNNNNNNNNNNNNNNNNNNNNNNNNNNNNNNNNNNNNNNNNNNNNNNNNNNNNNNNNNNNNNNNNNNNNNNNNNNNNNNNNNNNNNNNNNNNNNNNNNNNNNNNNNNNNNNNNNNNNNNNNNNNNNNNNNNNNNNNNNNNNNNNNNNNNNNNNNNNNNNNNNNNNNNNNNNNNNNNNNNNNNNNNNNNNNNNNNNNNNNNNNNNNNNNNNNNNNNNNNNNNNNNNNNNNNNNNNNNNNNNNNNNNNNNNNNNNNNNNNNNNNNNNNNNNNNNNNNNNNNNNNNNNNNNNNNNNNNNNNNNNNNNNNNNNNNNNNNNNNNNNNNNNNNNNNNNNNNNNNNNNNNNNNNNNNNNNNNNNNNNNNNNNNNNNNNNNNNNNNNNNNNNNNNNNNNNNNNNNNNNNNNNNNNNNNNNNNNNNNNNNNNNNNNNNNNNNNNNNNNNNNNNNNNNNNNNNNNNNNNNNNNNNNNNNNNNNNNNNNNNNNNNNNNNNNNNNNNNNNNNNNNNNNNNNNNNNNNNNNNNNNNNNNNNNNNNNNNNNNNNNNNNNNNNNNNNNNNNNNNNNNNNNNNNNNNNNNNNNNNNNNNNNNNNNNNNNNNNNNNNNNNNNNNNNNNNNNNNNNNNNNNNNNNNNNNNNNNNNNNNNNNNNNNNNNNNNNNNNNNNNNNNNNNNNNNNNNNNNNNNNNNNNNNNNNNNNNNNNNNNNNNNNNNNNNNNNNNNNNNNNNNNNNNNNNNNNNNNNNNNNNNNNNNNNNNNNNNNNNNNNNNNNNNNNNNNNNNNNNNNNNNNNNNNNNNNNNNNNNNNNNNNNNNNNNNNNNNNNNNNNNNNNNNNNNNNNNNNNNNNNNNNNNNNNNNNNNNNNNNNNNNNNNNNNNNNNNNNNNNNNNNNNNNNNNNNNNNNNNNNNNNNNNNNNNNNNNNNNNNNNNNNNNNNNNNNNNNNNNNNNNNNNNNNNNNNNNNNNNNNNNNNNNNNNNNNNNNNNNNNNNNNNNNNNNNNNNNNNNNNNNNNNNNNNNNNNNNNNNNNNNNNNNNNNNNNNNNNNNNNNNNNNNNNNNNNNNNNNNNNNNNNNNNNNNNNNNNNNNNNNNNNNNNNNNNNNNNNNNNNNNNNNNNNNNNNNNNNNNNNNNNNNNNNNNNNNNNNNNNNNNNNNNNNNNNNNNNNNNNNNNNNNNNNNNNNNNNNNNNNNNNNNNNNNNNNNNNNNNNNNNNNNNNNNNNNNNNNNNNNNNNNNNNNNNNNNNNNNNNNNNNNNNNNNNNNNNNNNNNNNNNNNNNNNNNNNNNNNNNNNNNNNNNNNNNNNNNNNNNNNNNNNNNNNNNNNNNNNNNNNNNNNNNNNNNNNNNNNNNNNNNNNNNNNNNNNNNNNNNNNNNNNNNNNNNNNNNNNNNNNNNNNNNNNNNNNNNNNNNNNNNNNNNNNNNNNNNNNNNNNNNNNNNNNNNNNNNNNNNNNNNNNNNNNNNNNNNNNNNNNNNNNNNNNNNNNNNNNNNNNNNNNNNNNNNNNNNNNNNNNNNNNNNNNNNNNNNNNNNNNNNNNNNNNGGAACAUUCGAAGGACCGGCUCCUCCAUCAUCACCAUCAUUAUUGAAACAAGUGCCCCGCCUCGUAUUAUUAUAAGGUUCUGCACAAACAUUAUCCCCCUCUGUCUCAUGAUGAAAAUCAUCAUUGUCCCGAAAAUCAUUGUUGUGAUACGGAGAAUAUCGUUGCUCCAACGACGUUGUUAUUGGAAAUACCGUUGCUCCAACAUCCUGUAACGUAACGCCAUUAUCAUCAAUGUUGUCAUAAUUGUCGUGGAUUGGAGAGUAAUAUUGCUGCAGCGAUAUUGUCCUUGGCAAUACCUCUUCAUCAUUAUCGGGGCCAGACAUAUUUGCUCUAACAAAAGUUUCUGUAUCGACAUGUGGCUCAAUACAUUCACUCGAAACUUGAGGUAAUGUGGUCACGAAUAUAGGAAUGCAUCCAAAAUUGGCUACGUCGGAUGCUAUAUGCAACACAACCCUCACCAUUUCAUCAUCAAAUAUAUCCAUGGGCAGUGCACAUAUACGAUAUAAUGUGUUACUAGACCUCAAAGUUGUCUUCAUUGUGAUACUAUAUUCAUUAGGGUUUAUUUGUAACACCUCGUAUACUCUUGCCAAUAACUGAUCAAACAGACAAUUUUUCCCAACCAAAAAAGCUCGAUUUUUACCAUUCACAUACUCCAUACGGCCAUCCUCUAAUGUCUCCCACCAACCAUCGUAACACAAUUCAAGUACAACUGAAUCCAUUAAGCCUGAAAUUAUAUAAAAAAAAAAUAUUUAGAUCCGGAUUAAAUUAAUACAGUUUUAAUGAAUCUCUAAGGCUUGGUGCGACAGGCUGCCUGCGCCCGAAGCUUGGUACGACAGGCAGCCUGUCGCCAGAUUCAGCCGCUACUCAGUUCAGUAAGUUCAGAAAAUAACUCAUACCACUAAGUGAUGCCGAUUAGUGUUGGAUUUGGAUAGAUUAUGAUCAGAUUUCACUUUUACCGUUGUCUUUUGCCGUCGCCGUUGGUUGAUGAUUCAAGAGUGGAAAGCUGCGUUUGGUUUGACGAUAUGGGAGAAAGAUUGUUGCUUUUGGUCUGUAAAAAAGGGUAAUUUGGGGAGAAAGGCUUGUGUUUGGCUAAUGUUGAUAGAAAAAAGUUGAGAGGGUUAGUUGUGAAAAUAACAAAAUAUUUAUGGUUAUUUUCGUAAAUUUCCCAAACUUUUCCUACAGCAUAUCAAUUAUCCACUAAAUCUAAAAUAAUAAUAAUAAUAAUGUACAUAUAAGUGAAAAUUUUGCUUAAUUUUGAUGACAAACAGAGAAAGUGCCUAUAAAAUAAAAAUAUGAAAAUUACAAGUGAUAAAAUACAUAAAUUAGGUAAAUGUUAAAUACCCUUUAAUAAUUUUUAAAAGAAUUUGUGGUUGAAACUGAAACCCAGUGGUUCUUCUUCGUUAUCCACUUUCUAUGGCAACAAUGAAACAUUCUUUUUCUUCUUCUUCUUCACUCUCUCUCUCUCGAUUCUUCCACAAAACUACUCUCCAUUACAACAUCAACAAUGGCUUCAGUAAUCUCCGAAUUUCUACAAUAAUUAAAAAAAAUCCAAGCUUACUUGGGGUGGAGUUGGUGAUGGUUUGCUGUUGGUUCACGUGAGUUGCUGGUGCUGCUGGUUUCGGGUGGCGUUGGAGCUGAGAUCGCUGCUGCUGCAUCGCGCGCGUUCGAUUGGCUGCACUACGUCGCGCGGGUGGUGCUGUUGGGUGUGGGUCGCUGUUGCGUCGCCCGUUUGGUGUUGUAUUGCUACUGGGUUGCUAGCUCUGCUGCGUCGCGCGUGGACGGUGGAUCGCUACUGAAGGUGGUGGCUCCUUAAUUUGGUGUGAGGAUGAGGCAGUAAACGUCGGCUGUUGGCUGCCGGCGGAAAGUGCAGUGAGAGUCUGAUGGAGCGGCUGGAGAAGUGGAGAUAAAUUUAGGAAUUUUAGGUUUUGGGAAUUUGGUAAAGUCUAAUACCAUCAAAAUCCUUUUCCUAAUCUAACACCAUCUGUUAGGCUGCUGCUCUUAGAUAGCAGCAACGAAUUGAAGAGAAGAAUUACAGAAGAAUAAUGACGAGAGGGAGAAUUGUGUGGGAUGUAUCCCAUUUCCUUCAAAAUACCCAAUAUAUACCUAAAAUUAUAACACUCUUAAAUUUUACACAUAUAUACUCUAAAAAAUUAGAGAAAGUACAAAAAUAACCACAACUAAAUCCUCAUAAAACUAAACCCAAUUUCUCGAAGUUAGGUAAAUAGUCGAGAAUACUCGACUUCAACCAAACCAUACACAAUUAGUAAUUCAUCAUAAAUUCUUGACUUUUUCAUGUUAAUCGGGUAAAUAGUCAAGAAUACUCGACUUCAAUUGAAAUAAAAAAUUAUCUGAAAAAUUCUCGAUUUUUUCAAGUAAGUCGAGUAAAGAGUCGAGAAUACCCGACUUUAAUUUAACCUUACCCAAUAUUCAUUCAGCAAAAAUUCUUAACUUUUCAUUAAAGUUCAGUAAUUGAUUGAGAAUAUUUGACUUAAAUUGAAUUGAAAAUUUUCCUUUUAAUUAAAUCAGGUAAAAAGUCGAGUAUACUCGAAUUUGGUUGUGUUAUUAUGCAGAAGUUAUGAGAGAGGAAGUAAACAUAAAUAGAUGGUUUUUUUAGGUUAUUUUUUACUUUUAAUACUUUCAUGAGGUAUAUGUAUGUAAUGGGGUAUAUAUUUUGUAUUUAAGAAUAAAUGGGGUAUAUUUAAAUAAAAAACUCGAGAGGAGAGGUGGCCAUAGGGGAAAUGAGAGUUUUUUAAGUAAUUGUUAUUCUUUAUUAAUCUAACAAUAGUUUCUUAUACAGAGGCAAAGAAAUCCGACUAAAAUAAUAAUUCCUAAUAACAUAAUAACUAACUUAGUAACUAAUCCUUAACAGAAAAUGAAAUAAUGUAGAACUGAGACUAGGAAGGGCAUCUCCAAUGCUUAACACUAUUAUGGUGUAAUACUAAUAUAAACAAUUUUUUUUUUCACACUAAAUUAUUAUUUCAUCUAUAACCCAUUUACACCAAAAAAAAAAAAUUCUUUUUAUUCUCAAGAAUUAAUUCAAUUAACACAAUAAAUAUUACUAUUAAUAUAAUGCAAUGUGAGCCUUUUUAUCAUUGAUUUGUUUGUGUCGAACAAGAAAUUCUUAAAAUCUAGUAUUCUUAUCUACCCUCAUAUCAACGAUUGGUAUUGGGGCUUGCAUCCAAUCAUUAAUUGUUGCAUUAACAUCACGUUCAUCUUCAAUUAUCAUAUUGUGCAUAAUAAUGCAAGCAGUCAUUAUAUCAUGUAACACAUGUUUGUUCAAAAAACAUGAUGGUCCAACAACAAUUGCAAAACGUGAUUGAAGGGCUCCAAAUGCACGUUCUACAUCUUUUCCGACAUGCUUCUUGUUUCAUAGCAAAUAAUUUCUUUUUAGGACCACGUGGAUCAUGGAUAGUUUGUACAAGAGUAGACCAUUUUGGGUAGAUACCAUCAGCUAAAUAAUAACCCAUAUUAUAUUUGUUCCCUUUAAUGACAUAAAUCGAGCGAAGGUGUUACUGGCACAAGAUAAGAAAUACAAUAAAUGGUUCAAAUUUGAUUAUGUAUGGCCUAUCCUUAAAGAUAUUGAAAAAUUUGGAGAUGAUAAUAGCAUUGCAACACCAUACUUUCGAAGGCAAAGUAGCGAAUUUGUGCCAUCACAAUCAGAUUCUCCCGCUCUGGAGUCUCCAACAUCAACAUCUCCUAGUCUAUCAUCAUUUUCACUAAAUAUAAAUGACGAGCAUGUUAACGAUUGUUCUACUCAACGACCCAUUGGAGUAAAGAAGGCAAAAGGAAAAAGGAAAGUUGAAGAUCAAAAUUCACUAAUUAUUGAUACUAUUAAAGAAGACAAUCGACGACUUUAUGAAAUUCUUCAAAAGGCAGUGACGAUAGGCAACAAAAUUAUCAAAUUCAAAUGAUACGAGCCCAAAAUGAGAAAAAAAAAUUAGAGAUGGUCACAUAUCGUGAAGAAAACAAAAUUUUACUUAAAGAUUUAAAUUCGAUAAGUGAUCCAAGCUUGCGUCAAUAUUCUAAAAAUGAACAAAUUAAGAUUUUGCAGAGAAAAUCUCAGCAAGUCCAAACAUCUCAAAAUACUUCCAAUAAUAUUGACCAAUAUUUUGAUGAUAUUGGAGAAUCUAAUAAUGAUAUCCCAAAUUAUUAAAUAAUUGUUCUAAUUUAUGCUGCUAGUAGUAGGUUUUUUAAUUUUUGUUAAUUUAAUUUUGUAUUUUUAAUUUUGUGAUAUGUAAUCUAGUAAUUAAUGUUAAUCUAGUCCAAACAUCUCAAAAUAUGGUGCAAUACUAUUCAUAACACCAUUUUAGUGUUUGUUUUGGGAUAUUACAUUAGAAAAGUAUUUUACACCAAAAAUGGUGUAAAAAUUAAUUUGGUAUUAAUUUUGUUGUCGCAUUGAAAAUAGCGUAACACCAUCAAAAUUCUAUUGGUAUUCAUCACAACUAAAAAGGAAAAAAAAAGUUAGGUCAUUAUUGAAAAAUAUUAAGUGCGGUGGAAAUUAACCUAAAGUCUUGACUUUUAAUUAGUUAAUUGAUCGUUAAGAAAAUAUACAGAUACAGUUUUACACUUUCGGCUAUUAAAAUUAAGGGAAAUUAUCACUGCACCACCUCUUUUUUACCUUAUGUUCAUCCAACCACCAAAAAAUUCUAACAUGUUCUCUGCACCCCCUUUUUUUUUUUUUUUAAUUUGUAUCAACUAGCCACUUUUUAACUAACACCGUUAAAUAAUUUAAAUGAAAUGACAAUUUUACCCCUAAAUAAAUUAAAAGACCAUUUUAUUUUACAAAAAAAUUGAAAAAUAAGAAAAUUAUAAUUAUAAAAAUACCUCUAUAAUUAUAAAAAUACCUCUAAAUUUAAUAAAAAAUAAAUCCCAAAAUUUUUAUUUUUAAUAAAAUCUAAAUAAAAAUUAUAAUUAUAAAAAUAAUUACAAAAGGAUUUAAUAACUGCACUUUAAUGAAAGAAAAAAAUGAACCAAGAAUGGAAUGAUAGGAAGUAGAUGUAGGAAUUUAGGGCUGCUGUACCGUACAUCCGCCUUGGCCGUACAGCAGUGAUUUAUUUUUUAAUAAAUAAAUUCAGUUAUUUUAAUAAAAUUUUGUAAAAUUAUAAUUUUUAAUAAAUAAAUUCAGUCAUUUUUAUUAAAAUUUUGCAAAAUUAUAAUUUUUUAAUAAAAAUAAUUAUUAAAAUUUUGUAAAAUCUAAAUUAAAUAAAAAUCAACUGAGCACCUUUGUCUGGGAUUUAUUUUUUUAUUAAAUUUAGGAGUAUUUUUAUAAUUAUAAUUUUCUUAUUUUUCAAAAUUUUUGUAAAAUAAAAUAGUCUUUUAAUUUAUUAGGGGUAAAAUUAUCAUUUCAUUUAAAUUAUUUAACGGUGUUAGUUAAAAAGUGGCUAGUUGAUAUAAAUUGAAAAAAAAAAUGGUGCAGAUAAAAUGUUAAAAUUCUUUAAUAAUUGAAUGAACAUAAAACCAAAAAUAGGUGGUGCAGUGAUAAUUUUCCUAAAAUUAAUGAAGAAAUAAUGACAUUUGAGGUAAUAUAAAAUUUUCAUAUUUUUAUAAGAUAAAUUAAGGUGCCAUAUUUACCCAAACAUAAAUAAUAAAUUCAUGAUUAGUCAGAAACAAUAAGAAACUCAUCAAUACAAAAAUAAUAAUCAUAAUUACAAAUAAAGUUUUUAAUUUUUUUAAUUGAAAUCUUUAGUAUUUUUAAGACUGAACAGCUCAUUUACUCCGUACACAAGCAUUAGAAAAGUUUUAUACUGACAUGAACAAAUUGAAAAAUCCAUGCCGUUUUAAAAUGUUCAACCGAGAUUAACAGUUUAAAACCAAGAUUCAUAUUCCAACCAAAUAUUUUUUGUAAUCUAUUAAUAUAAAAUAUACAACAAUAACGGCUUCCUACCAUUGCUUCUGUAAAGCUACCAGGAAUCACAAUUAUGGAUACAAAAAGGGGAUUACACAACCAACAAAUCUUUCCAAUUUUUUUACCAAGGACAUAUCCCCACAGAAUUUACAGAACCGGGAAACUCCAACAUACGCUUUUCUUUUUCCUUUAAAGAAAAAAAAAAAAUCUAGUAUUCUGGCAUUCUCAGGCUAAUAAACAACGGUAAUCUGACAAAAGUGUUUACCUAGGUAUUCCGAGAUUGAAUACCAGCUUCAGCCUCUGAUAAGCUCUCAUGAUACUCAUCUAUUAAGUAGUCACAAAGUUCCAGAAGCUGAUCUGCAAGGGGAGGAAUAGCAGGAUGGCGUCCAUCGUUGUACUUAUGGGCAUUAAAGGCAAUUUGCCAUACAUCGUGUCUAAAAUCCUCUCGGUCCUUGUACUCCAUCCGCCUCACCUUACCCCUGAUUGUGGACAAAUCCAUGGGGCGCUCAAUGAUAUCCAGGUAAUCAGGAGCUUCUUUCUUGGCCACUGGUUUAAGGAAGAGAUAUGACAACUCAGUAUUUUCUCGGAGGGUCUCUACAAUGCGCUCUAAUAUGUUCGACAGACCAACCUGUAAGAUAAUUGAUUAGGAAAUUCAAACAAAACAAGUCCCAGUCCUUAAUUGAUAUAACACUUAAAGGAGAAAUGCAACAAACCCAACUCAGCAAUUAGACAUAACAAUCAAUAUAGCUCUUCAAACUUAUUCCCCUUUUCAACAUUAAAGGAACUACCCAGGAGCCUUUAAUUUGAUUAUUUAACUACCUGUAUGCUUGUCCUUUUGAACCACAACCACCCCAUACAAAACCUAAUAGUAAGUUUUCAAUCUUAGUCCAAUUUACUUUAUUAAGUAGAUAUAGAAAUAUUAUCAAUGGUUGAAAAAUAACAAGGUAUAAUGUGCUCAAUAUGAAAGCACAUAUGAUGAAAUCAAGGAUAGAGAUAAGAUAGUGCAUACCUCUCCCCCUCUGCGUCGCUUUGUUGGAGGUCCAUAAUCUGCACUGUGCUUUCCCAACUCUGCGCCAGGUUUCCUCUUUGCACCUCGAUCUCUUUCUGGCAUCCUUCUAUCAUUUCUUUUAGCCCUGUAGUCCUGUAAAUAAUCAUCUCCUAUUUCAGGUUUUUUCUUCUUCUUUUUCUUCUUCUUUGCUUUUUGGAUGAGUUCUUCCUCUCUCUCUUUUCUGAUGGAUUCUUCAUAUCUCCUAAGUUCAGCAAACCUUUCCCGCUCUUCCACAAACCUCCUUUCUUCCUCAUAGAUCCUCCUUGCCCUUUCUUCUUUGAUCCUCUCAGCAUUUCUUCUCUUCUCUUCCUCUUCCCACCAAUUCCUCUCAUCUCUCACUUUCCUUUUUGCUGAAUCAUUAGUCAAUAAAGGGAUCUGCUUUUCGCGCUUCUCGAAACUUGACAAUUCAACUAUUUUCUUAGUUUUUCUAUACUCCUGUGGGGACCCAUCCUGACUAACCCUGUCCAGAUCAAUAAUCUCUUUUGGCCGUUUGAUUAUGAUUUUCUUUUGAGGCGGCUCUCUAUCUUUAUCAGCAGGUGGACGUAUGACAAUAGAGGGUUUAUGAGAUUCAACUAGUUCUCUAUCUGUAGUUGUUACGGGCCUAAUAAGAAUGGAGGGCUUAUGAGAUUCAACUUGUUCUCUAUCUGUAUUUGCUGGGGGUCUUAUAAUAAUAGAGGGCUUAUGAGAUUCAGCUUGGCUUUUAUCUACUGUAUCUACUGGAGGCCGUAUUACAAUAGAGGGUUUAUGAGACUCUACCUGUGUUUCUUCAGGUCUUGGCUUGUUAGAAAUUACUAUUCUAUUAACCUUACCAACAGACUUAUUCGCAGUUUCAACAACAUCAGAAGUACUCGGUUGGUCGGAACUUUGUGUAGAUGCAACAGGAAAUUUAUCAGGAAGCUUAUCAGCUGAGCUGCACUUGAAUUUUACUGGAACCACUUUCGUCUUCAAACUGGAUUUUUCAUCUUCAGGAGCUUCGAUCAAAGCAAUUUUUGUUGCACUUUUAGAUAUGAGCUUCUUUUUCUUCAGACUUUUCAGCUGGGACUGACUUGAAGGGUCCAGAGAGUUAGAUUUUCCCAAGGAUUUAUCCAUGUCUGCAGUUUCAAGCUGCGUUUCUGGAUCUGCUCUAUAUCUGGGGCAGUUUUUGUUGGUCCUCAUGUGUCCAUGCUGGUCAAUCAUGAGGAAAAAAAAAAAAAAAUCACUGUUAAAAUAUAUUCUUAAAUAACACACAGAAGCUACGUUAACUUUGAAUAUUCCGCACCUGACCACAAGCUCCACAAACAAAAGUCUCCCUUGAUGACUUUUUCUCCUUGAACAUCUGGUUUAAAACAAAAUCAUAUGUUAUGAUAAUCUUCACAGGAAGCAUGUAUGUGUGUGCGUGCGUGCGUGUCUAUAUAUAUAUCAACUCAAUGCACAAGCUAUGUGGUGAAAGCAACACUACAGAUCCAUGGGACACUGCCUCUGAAAUUAUUAGUAGCCAAAGAAAACAAGGUGAAUAUUAAAGUAAAAAGUAGCUUAUACAUUUAUACAAAAUAUCCAGGACAUGAUAACCAAAAAAUUCAUAGAUAAUAUUACGAUGCACAGAAUUCAACUGAACUUAGUGUUAGUAGCAAAUGUAAAGAUAUGACCUUCAAAUCAAUUAAUCAGAGGAUGCAUUCAUGAUAUUUCCUUUAGAUAGGGAGCAUAUUAUAUAUUAAAAUUUAAGAAACAAAAAUAGUAGAGUCCGCUCAUUUUUCUCCAUCAUAUCAAGGCAUGAUUGGACAGUACCAAUAUGAUUGAGGAAAAAGAAAAGAAAAAACUCCUAAAAAUCUCUUAACGAUGGAGUUCUUACACUAUCUACUACAAUCUGCCAUGUGAAGUUAUAAUGUAUGCGUGUUUGUUUGCAAGAGUUAGAUUGGUCUUAUCUAAACAGUAUUGGAAUUCUAAUAUUGAAAUGUUCCUUUUACAGUCAAUUGUUCAAAUAUCCAGAGACCCUAGAAUCGAGGGGAAAAUGUUCUAUGGUGAUAGUAUGAUUUGAAGAAUCCCAAUACCACCCCAUGACUUCUGAUUCACUGGUCCAGAAAAAAAUAUUUCAUCUGACACUCUUCGAUAACCAGUAGAUCAUGGGAUGUGAUCCUAGAUUUCAAGUCAUAUGAUUAACCAUCGAUUCUGAAUACUAUCAUUUAUAAUGGCUGUCCAUAAAGGAUUUACACUGGAUGUACUAAAGCAUGAUAACGACAAUAUGGAUGUCCAGAAAUAUAUCUAUAAGCUCUAUGGUUGUGAACAACAGGGAGGAACCGACUAGAAUAAUGAUGUGACGCAAAAAUUAAAACUUGCUUCUGUACUCUUCUGUUAUUGCUAACAAGGAUCCUCCCAACAAUCACACUUCCGAACUAAUUAUCCAGACAUCUUUGAGCUUGCAUGUAUAUUUCUGGUAUCACCAGCCAGAUCCUCUCAACAGUCACUUUUUCAAACAAUUAUUCAGUGCAACUAUUGGGGAUUUCACAAUUCUAAAUACAAAGGAUAAUCUACUAAAUGCAGUAAGAGAAAAUGAUAUAUAUUAAACUUGCCUUGCCAUUAUCUACCACUAUCUUGACUUUUUUGCCCACUGGUGAGAUACUAUUCUUUUUCAUUGCUUGCACCUUUCCAGACAGGUUUCUUUUAGCAAUUAGACUCUCCUCCUGUCACCACAUAUAAUAGAGUCAAUAGCAUCCUCAAGUUAAAGGAGAAACUAACAACUCAAAACCACUUACCUCCUUUGGAUCUUUAAUCUGCUCAUUUGCAGUGUGGGAUCCAUUUGGUUGGACUGUAAUUGCAAUAUGCUUAGCUGGUUUAUUUGCCUUCUUAAGCCGUUCAACGAUCUCAAGACCAGAAAUUGAUUUGGCAAGAGAUAAUCCUCCUUCCACUUGAGCUUUUGUUUUCUUUUUCUUUUUCUUCAGCUCAGCCUCAUCAUCUGCAAAACAUGGUAUGGUUGACCACAUCAUUAGGUGUUAAUAUAUCUUUCUGGAAUACAGCAAACAAAACAGAGAUAUACAGUAAUCACAUAAAUUGUCUAAUAAAGCAACAGUUUCAGUUCCAUUCAAGGAGCUUUGCUUAGCACAGUUAAACAGACAGUCCAAAUUUUUUUAGAGAAUCCAUAAGCUCCACAAAUUUCAUCAUCUGUAUUAACUGUGGGCCAUCAAAAACUAGAAAAAUCCAUUUCAUAAGAGGACUGCAUUUGUCAUAUGUUAUUGGUUAGCAGAUGUAUAAAUACAGCUAAUGCUCAAAAACUGCAAUCUUAUUUCACUUUAUGGAUGGAGAGUAUGUAUCAGAUAAAAUCAGGUAUAAACUAGUAAUCUUUUUAUGUUUUAAAAGCAAUACAGAUUAUUUAUCAUGAAUUAAUAGACAAGGAAGAAUUAUCUGUAAGCAUAAUGUGUUGAUAUUUUCUGACUACUAAGCUUUCUCCAACAGUACCAACAUAUUAAAAAGGUUUUGGACUUACACAACAGAAAGAUUACUGACAUCAACCUAUUUAAGGUCUAUCCAUAUACAUAAUUCAAAAAAUAAUAUUAAAAACAAAAGGGCAUCCCCAAUCUGUAAUGAGUCUCCAGUAUAACCCACAAACGCUGACAGUUAAUUCUUCAGAGAAAAUUAAAAUAAGCAGUUAGAAAACAAAUAAUCCAUACCAUCCAUGAGUAGCCUGCAUAAUUCAGCCGCUUCAGCUGCUUCAUCUUCAAUUUCCUCUUCUGCCUGUACUUGGAUAGGACGCCUUCUCAUUUUAAGACCCUUAACACCUUCCACUUUGUCAUGCUUUGUAUCAUAAUUGCUCUCUUCUUCUUCAAAUUCCUCAGCAUCAAGCAAAUUUUCUAGAUCCCCAGCAAAUGAAUCCAGAUCACUAUGCUCAGAGUCACUUCCAAUUUCAUCGUCAUCAGCAGCUGAAAGAGACUGAACUUGUCUAUCCCAAAUCUCCUGACACUUUCCUCGGGUCUGUUGUUGCAGCUGAAGAAAUGACAUUCGCUGGCCACGUGCAUACUUGCUAAUAGUUGUUGGAUCAACCUGGACACCUGAUGCUGCUUGCUCACUUGAAAGCUUGCGAAUCAUAGCAAUACGAUGCCAUCUUGUCUGCUUUGCAAUCAUUUCCUCAGGCACAUUGAACUUAAGAAGAACCUGGUGAUCAAAAAGGAUAAUGUUAUUACAUUGUUCUAAAUAUAUAGAGUGAUCAAUUUUAGGUUAUUUAUUAGAAAACACGAGAUUAAGUUUCCUACAGUAGGAAAUAAAUGAAAACUUUUUGUUUUGGUGUUCUGCUGUACCGUACAUCCGCCUUGGCCGUACAGCAGAUUCUUAUUUAAUUGGAUCUCAAAUAAAAGUAGAAAAUUUUACUUUUUUUCAUUCAAACUCACAUCAUAAGCUGUGGAAAAUAAAAAAAAGAUAAAAAUAAAAACCUAAAUGACUGCAAUAAAUUGAAUUCAGACUUCAGAUAAACAUGCAACCCCUAAAGGAUCAAGAGAUCUUUGUUUGAAGCUUGAGAAGUUCCCAAUUACAUUAGUUUUAGUUUGAGCAUAUGAAAAAUACCUGUCACUUUCCUACAUGAUUACGGGAUUUAUUAGAGACAGAACUACCAUUAUUGUUCCCGUACCUAUCAACUUAGGCUUUGGGAUUAAUAACUCCUCAAAAGAAACAAAGUAAAGAGGUUACGUUGACAUGAUUUUACCAAUCCUAUGCACUCCCAACUUCUGACACUCCAUCUGAUUGAUGCAGCUCCAAAAAUGCUUAAGGAUAAGAGUACAUAUGCCUGCUGGCCACCCCCCCCACAAAAAAAAAAACACCCACCCACCCAACCCCGAAAACAAUCUUCAAUAUAACUUAAGAGAGGUCAUUGAUUAAGUCCUCAGAUAUCCUAUAGAUUAUCUACAAAACCUAAUCAACUCCAACCAAAUGAAGUCUAAGGUAUGCAGCCUCUUGUUUCUUGAGGCCAGGCCAAGAGACAAGCAGAUGACCCCAAAUAUCAUAUAAUUUUUGCUGGUAUACACCCUAUGCCUCCAAACAUCAUAUAAUUUUCCUGCUAUAAGCUUGGCCAAGUAUUUGGACAAGAAAAGUUCAAGAAACUAAUCGACUGUCAAGUAAAAUGCUGAUAAUUUUUUCUAAGUUAAAAGAUGUGCUUCAUGUUAAGCAUCUUAAUCUCACAAAAAGAUAGAUUAAUGGAACUAUUAAAAUCCCAAUUUCUUACCUCUCUUGCAGCCUCCAUGCUCAGCCUACGAAGAUCAGCAUCUGUUCCAGUAACAGUGGAACCUCCUCGAUUAGCAGCUGCUUUUUUCUUCACCAUUGCACUUGACACUGAAGCUUUGGGAGCAGCACGGACAUAACUAAAUCCUAGGCCCCGACCGGAUGGAUCACCAACACCAGUUAUUUCCAAACGCUCAAUGUUUUCCCUGUCCUGAAGUUAAACAGAUGCAGAACAUAGAAUAAACAAUACAAAAAUAUAAUGCAGAAGAGAAAAGGAAAAACAGGAAGUAGUGUAUGUUGAGCGUAACGCCCCAAAAACCUUCCAUGCACAAAGUAGAAAUAUUUCCACAACUAGCACCACGGUUUACAAUGAAGGAGAAAGGGAAGCACUAUAAUACGUUUUAGCCCAGGGUUCAGAAAAUUGCACACGCACACACGCAAAAAAGGUGCAAACUUUCAUCUGUCAGAUUGAUUGAUUCACCUGGUUUGUGCAGGCAACAAAGUUGCUACUCAGGUUCCAUGGAGUUAUCUGAAGCUCCCUCUCAAUAUGAGAUGCAGCAGCUAGAGCAAUUGCUUCAUCAGGGAGUUGACUCAUGGCUGAGGAAAUGCUAGCAGGAAGAGUUAAUUGUGUAAUUCCCAAAUGUUUGAGCCGGUAGAGACCAGCUUGCAUACUUUCAUAGGAGCAGACCUAAGCCAUAAUGAUAAAAAAGGGAGCAGAAGGAAAGUAGUAAGCAAAGCAUAUAAAUGGCAGGAUAAACCAGAAACAAGGACGAAUUUUUCACAAGAAUGUGGAAAUCAUUAACUGUAGCAGCACAAAGCAAUUAGAAUAUAACACCUACAUUCUGGUCUAACAAACGAGCACUGAUGAUAAUAAUUAGACACCAUGUAACAUACUAAGGUAGGUGUUAUAAGUUAGCACUGAAUUUUAAAAAUGAACAAAAGUCCCAUUUAGGAAACCAAGGGCAAGGAAACAAAUCAUGCUAACCCAAUAACUCAUUUUGAAGAAAAUAAAAUUCUUAGAAACAGGUAAAACUUACUAAGCUCGUUGGAUACCUGAUAUGGUUGUAAUAAAAAAAUAAUAAUAAUUAAAAAAAAAACAGGUUUUGGUUAUGGAAAGCAAAAGGCAUCUGAAAUAUGUAUUAACUUACAUGCUCUGGAUACACUAAUUUUCUCAAAUCACCCUCAGACGGAAUGUGGAAGGUACGCUUCAUAGACCAAACCUGCUUUCCGUUUCCAUCCCGCUGUAGGUUGCAUUUGCAUGUUAAAAAAACAGGUGAGUAUAAUAAAAUAACAACUAUUAAAACAGGACAGAAAGGUAGAAUAAAGCUUCAAGCAUGUAUUCAAGCAGCAGUAAAUUACCAAGGUGAUACGAGAUGAACAUAUCCAAAAGAACAGCUUACCCGCAAAAAAGCACAUUCCUUCAACUUCUUCCGUAUAAUUGCUUCUGAAAGGUUAGGAAACUGCACAGACAACUCAUCUACACCAAUGCAGGGCAGCAAACCACGUUUUGCAGCGGCAGAAAAUUCACGAUAUACAUUUACCAGCAUCCUAUUUAUGCUAUACGUCUGAAGGUUUUUUGAUCCAGGAGACAUUACCUCCAUGAGGGGCUCCUGCAAAUAUAAUCAACAAAAUAUAAUUUAUUAAUCUCCUUCAAGAUUAUAAAAGCUCUGUUGAUGUACUGAAUUUGGAAGAUUUGCAUAUCAUAUUGGCAGUAAUGCUCAAUCGGGUAGGAUUUUAAGUUGAGUUAAAGUAGAAUAGUUUUCCUUUUAGCUGCUAUAGGUAGGCCUUGUUAUAUAUUCGAUAAAAGAGCUAAUGAUUAUUUGAGAAUAAAAAGCCAAAUCUCCCCCCCCCCCCCCCAUUAGACACCAUGUAACAUACUAAGGUAGGUGUUAUAAGUUAGCACUGAAUUUUAAAAAUGAACAAAAGUCCCAUUUAGGAAACCAAGGGCAAGGAAACAAAUCAUGCUAACCCAAUAACUCAUUUUGAAGAAAAUAAAAUUCUUAGAAACAGGUAAAACUUACUAAGCUCGUUGGAUACCUGAUAUGGUUGUAAUAAAAAAAUAAUAAUAAUUAAAAAAAAAACAGGUUUUGGUUAUGGAAAGCAAAAGGCAUCUGAAAUAUGUAUUAACUUACAUGCUCUGGAUACACUAAUUUUCUCAAAUCACCCUCAGACGGAAUGUGGAAGGUACGCUUCAUAGACCAAACCUGCUUUCCGUUUCCAUCCCGCUGUAGGUUGCAUUUGCAUGUUAAAAAAACAGGUGAGUAUAAUAAAAUAACAACUAUUAAAACAGGACAGAAAGGUAGAAUAAAGCUUCAAGCAUGUAUUCAAGCAGCAGUAAAUUACCAAGGUGAUACGAGAUGAACAUAUCCAAAAGAACAGCUUACCCGCAAAAAAGCACAUUCCUUCAACUUCUUCCGUAUAAUUGCUUCUGAAAGGUUAGGAAACUGCACAGACAACUCAUCUACACCAAUGCAGGGCAGCAAACCACGUUUUGCAGCGGCAGAAAAUUCACGAUAUACAUUUACCAGCAUCCUAUUUAUGCUAUACGUCUGAAGGUUUUUUGAUCCAGGAGACAUUACCUCCAUGAGGGGCUCCUGCAAAUAUAAUCAACAAAAUAUAAUUUAUUAAUCUCCUUCAAGAUUAUAAAAGCUCUGUUGAUGUACUGAAUUUGGAAGAUUUGCAUAUCAUAUUGGCAGUAAUGCUCAAUCGGGUAGGAUUUUAAGUUGAGUUAAAGUAGAAUAGUUUUCCUUUUAGCUGCUAUAGGUAGGCCUUGUUAUAUAUUCGAUAAAAGAGCUAAUGAUUAUUUGAGAAUAAAAAGCCAAAUCUCCCCCCCCCCCCUGUACNNNNNNNNNNNNNNNNNNNNNNNNNNNNNNNNNNNNNNNNNNNNNNNNNNNNNNNAACCCCCCCCCCCCCCUUCCCUCACAGUUUCCUCUCUAUCCUUUUCUAAUUUUUGUUCUCCUCUCCCUAAUUUCUGAAUGUUUUCUCCAUUUCUCUCUCUUAGUGGUUCUCCUCUUCUAUUUCUUUAUUUUUCACUUGAUUUCUUCCUCCAACCAAUUAUAGCCUACCAUUACUGAAUCAGAAGCAUAAAUCUCCACCAACACACCAUCUCCAAAGAUUCAGCAAUCUUUCUAGUUUAAUCACAAAAUGAGGAAAAUAUUAUUAGUUUUAGGAACACUUGGUUAGAGCUAAAUAGUUUCAAGUGUCAACAAACAGGUCUAUACUGAAAUUACAACAAUAUUCAAUACCUGCCAUAUAUUCCACAUUCCCCCCCAAGCCAGUUUCAAAAGAAGGAAAUCUUUCAUGCUAUAAAUGUCCAAAUUUCAUCAAAUUUCAUGCUAUCCCACUACUUAACCAAACAUUAAGAAAACAUUACUAGGAGCCAUUAUAACUGGAUGACUUGACAGUAUAGUUACACAAAUUGAUGCUUUCCCAAUGAAAGAAAUGAAUAAGAGGAACAGAAGGAAGGAAAUAAAUGGAUCAAAAGUAAAUCUUAAGGACUCUAAUUGGCAAGUUUACCCAAAUUAGUUAAUAUCCAAAAUGUCCAAAAUGAUGCAGCUGCAGAAACAUAAACCAAUCUGAGUUCUGUCUACUCCCACUUUAAUAUUUACUGCCUACUUUUAUGCUAUAUCCAUUUGUUUACAGUAUUCAAAAUAUCUUCAACUUUGUAGUUAAUUUUUUACUUGAUGUGCUCAAGUUAACUCAGAAAUAGAUGCAUGUUCCCCUUAUUUAAAUGUCUCAUCCUGCAAACUAAAUUACUAGCACUCUAGCAGUGAGAAAAAAAUCAUAGCUAUCAUAAUAAAAUUUCAUGGGGCAUGGCAAUACAGGGAUGGACCAGAACAAUAACAAACCUGUUGCGCAACAACAGCAACCUUGUCAAUCCGUCUAAUGGAAAUCUUUCCCUUUGCAGAUCGGACCAACAAAAAAUCAGUUGUUGCCACCUUAUGGGGAAAGACAGGAGCCCUAUACAUGUUUGUUUCAAGAGAGGACUGACUGCAACCAGCUUUUAUGUCUCCGAGGAAAGGGGACUUAUCGCCAGGCUCUAGUGUCAAGACAUUCCCUAGGCAGUUGUUUCCACUGCACAGCAGAGCGCCGGCUUGAUCGCCUGGGGAAGACUUUUGAUAAUAAGUGCAUAGGUUUGCACCCAUUCCAGCAUUGCUCAACAGCAGAGGUCUCUCCUCACAAUACCUGCCAAAAUAAAGAGUAAUGGUAAUCUCAAACUUUCUUUAUUUAUAUACAAAUGAAAUUUAUUACCAUUCAGAACCUAAGGCAAAAGCAAAGCUUGUUGGUUUGUUGGUGGUAUUACAUCAUCAAUCCUAGCAAUUCUUCAAGUACUUACUUCCCAACUUACUUCUUUUUUAAAAUUUAUUUAUACAUUAUGAUGAAAAAUAUAAAUACUAGCAGGUAUUCAUAGUGAACCAGCAGUACACUAAAAGCACAUAAAAUAAAAUAAUAAUCUAUUUCAUUUGCAUUCUAAUUGAUGUAGCACAGCGUUAAGCAUUUGACAUAAAUAAAUAAUAAUAGUAAAAAGAAAAGAAAAGUAAGCUUAAGGAACUGUGCUGUUAAGUCUUCAGAUACCUAUAACUAACAAGUAAUAAGAAUAUAAGACAUUGUAAGCUUAACAACCUCAAAAGAAACAGAAGAUUCUAGACAAAAGAUAGUAAAAGCAAAAUGGGUCAUUAAUUAUUCCAAAACUCAGUUAAUGACAUUUCUUGUUCAAAAACUCAGUUAAAGACAUUUAUAUUUUCUAAUUAACAAGUCAUCCAAAUUUAGAAAUAUCAGCUGUUAAGUAGUGCCGAUUAUUAUCAUACAUGCUUAAUGAACUAUGUUUAUUUAUAAAGACAUCUCUGAUGGUAACGGACUCACUUCAUGUGCCUCUCAUAGCAAAUAUUACAGCAUCAACCUAUCCACCAAGGCCUGACUGCAAUGCUCUCAUUAAUGAACUUUGCUCCUAAGUUAUACUGACUACUAAACAAAAAUCAUUCAGGGCCAUGUAUAGUUUUAUUCUUGUUGAUAUGAUUAGAAUAGAUUUCAAUUUCAGAACAUAUUUAACUCCACAUAAAUUCUGUUAGUAUGACCAUCCGAUAAUAUCAAUCCAUCUGUGC
rnacentral:lncRNA from 1 species